rnacentral:lncRNA from 1 species
UGAGCCGCGCCUGCUCUGCUCCUUGCCUGAGUCGUGUCUAGUGCUCCGGAGUAGUGAAUAAUAAUCCGACGAACUGUUGCUCGUGUGAGUGUCCUUCGAUGCGUCGACAUCGUGGAGAGGAUUUUGUUUUGUUUUGUUGAGAAUUGCGUGCUGUCCAUGUGCUCGAUGAAAUGACUUGAAUUUUUCAAGGCGUCGUACUUGUUCUUAGCAUUGUCGGUGGUAAAGCCUUUGCUGAGAUGUUUACAUAGCUCGCGUACAAAAUACUCCCUCCGUCCCAUAAUAUAAAUAUAAGAGUGUUUUUUACACUAUAUUUAGUGUUAAAAACGCUCUUAUAUUGUGCUGAGAUUGAAAGCAGCUAAGAUAGGUACGGAUGCGAUGAAGGGUGUUUCAAAGUUCUGAUGAAGGGUGUUUCAAAGUUCUAUAACAAGAGAUGGAAAUUUUGGAUGCAGACCAACUGGUAGCAAAUAGUGUAUCUCUCUUUUUUGCACUGCAUGAAGACACCGAGCAAAACCUAUUUGGACCGUCGAUCCAUUUACACAGAUUAGCUAAUUGUCCGUGCGUUGUGCGCAUACUUAUUAUAGUGAUUCAAUACUAAUUAUAUCAGACAUAUGCCUUACACACACUAUAUUUAAGAUUUUGAUCACAUUUAACUUGAUUUGAGUAUAGGUAGAGAAUGCAAGGGAAGUUUUGAUUUAGUUGAGGCUUUGUUAAGUUUUAAUUUGAUUUGGGUAUUUAUAGGGGAGGAAAUGAAAGUUUUGAUUUAGUUGUGACAUUGAGUUAAUGCCGGACGUGAUUUUAGUAAAGUAUCGAUUAUGUUUAGAUUAUUCCAAGUUACUCUAUUUAUGUUGGUUUUAAUUUUGUGCAGCAUUGAUUGAGACUACAAAAAAAUCAACAUAAAACAUAGAAGGAAGGGGGUCGUGGGGAGGAAAAUCCAAGGGAGAAAGGGAGGCGACGGAACCAACUCCCUUUAAUAGUAGAGAUAGCCGUUGCAAACCCUAUUCUAUUUAGAGCAUUCAUGACAUGCGCUUGUGCAAGCUUGUACUCCACACAAAACCUCGAAACACCUUGAUCGAAUAUUCCAAACAACGUGCAUAGGUGAGCUAGUGUCGGUUAGAGCCCCUGGAUAUUUGUGGUUGGACCAUUCAAACCAUUUGCAAGUUGUCUCCUUGCAGUUUAGUCAGAGCAUCUGAGUUGAUCAUUUGGAUGCCUCCGAGCUACACGAAAAAUGUGUGCAACGGUCAGAUUUUUUGGGUUCAGCCUAAUACCUCCCCCCCCCCACACACACCCAUAUCCUACCAACUCACUCAAGAUCUUCAUUUCAGCGCGCGCGCGUGUGUGUCCACUACUCCAAAAUUCAUGUCAUACCUUUCUUUUGUUUGCUUUCAGGCAUACCAUUCAAAUACACAACCUUGUCUUGUCCAAGGAUCCAUUCAAUGAGCGUUUGAACGUGGAGAAGAAUAUCUUUUGAAGCGCAAGCAAAGGUUCAUCGCAAAACUACAUUCUCUUGUUAUUUGGGAGGGUGUGCAUCUCAUACAUUCGCUAGGUGUGCUUGGGGGGCCUUCAACGUGUGAAUGAACCAAGAAGUUUAUGAGGCAUUGAAGAUUGCCUACUAUGUGAAGAUCUGACAUUAGUGAGGCUAUACCUUCUGGGUCGUAAGCCAUGGUGAAAAUUUUUGAUUGCCCUCCACGGUCCAUUCAUGCAUGUAAUCCUACAUGGACAUAACAACGAGACCUUGAUGAUUUGAAGUUUCCAUCAACGUGGACUAGGAUAGCGCCAACUGAACCAGGGGACAACAAUAUCAGGCCUCUACGUGUUUGCAACCUGUAAUCUCAUAUCCCUUUAUUUUACUUCCAGGUUUUGCUUUCGCUCUUUACUCUUGUGUAGGCUUGCAUAAAGUGCUUUAAGCAACCACUAGCUAAGCUUAAUAUUUGUCAGAUUGUGAUAAUAGUUUAGUAGUCUAUUCACCCCUUCCCUCUAGACUCACAAUUAUCAUACACCAUAGAUGAUAUGUCAAAAAGGUAGAGACAACAAUUGGCUCUAUUAUUAGCCAACUGACAUGUAGAAAACCAUUAGUGUCCUUGGUAGGGUUUACAGUCUCUAACUGUCCUAGCCUUGAAGGAGCCUUGGCUUGAGCGCCAAGAUGAUGCCCUAUUCGGAAGCCGGGCCUUCUAGCGAUCGAAAAACCCAUCCAAUAGCUAGGCUCUGAGGCUAGCCCAGCAAUGGGCUUCCAGGACAACGGGCCACCCCCGAUAUAAUGUACCGUCAGUAUCCCCUGAGUUCAUUUGGAUUUUUUGUGAUUAGGCCUUCUCGAAAAAAUCUUGGCAGGUUCCUUCCAUGCGAAAAUGGCUAGAUGAAUCCAGCUUCUGGUUGCCCACCUUCGGGAACCUCUAGGCUUCAUGUCUCCCAACUUCGCGGCCUCACGGCUUCAUGGCUUUGAACUUCUCAGCCUCGCAACUACGUGACUUUCUGUGUCGCGGCUUCCUAGAUUUACAACUACCGAUUGAGUGCACAUCAAGUUGUGACUGGCAUGUCAUAUGAACCGAUGUGCCACUGCCGCCUGCUUUGUCAUGUGCCAUCAUUGUUGUCGUAAGGACAGAGAGACAGACAAUCGACUCCGCUUUGACCGCCACGUCAUGAUUAUAGUGCCUAGAUCCCCGUGCCUACAUCUCGUGUAGUGGGAAACUUCGCAGACAAAACAUGACACAUGUUGACUUCCCAAGGCCGUCAUUUGGGUUUCUUGGAGGGAUAUAAAGAGAGGAAGCGAGAGUCAUUCUCCCAGUUUCCCCUAUUCAUCUUGUAGAUCCACCUUUGAUUAUUCUUUCUCCACAAGAAGCACUAUUGCCGCAAGCUCUCGCCUUUCGAGCUCCCACUCCCCCCAUGGCUUUAAAGAAAGUGUUGCCUUGGAGACAAUCUGAAAGUUUUAGAGAGUCAUUUUAUUCUGUUGUGUGCUUUUAAAAAGUUUUAAAACAAAAAAUAUAGAGGGGAACCUAAACCUUUUCAAAAGGAUAAGUGAAAGUGAGAAGGACGAGCACCAUUGAAGUGGGGGAUAUCCUUGAACUCUUGUUCAUGCCCAUGGAAACUUUGUGAAUCUUGAAUUAUGGAAACUUUUCAACAACAAAAAAAUAUCCCCUUGUAAAAAUCUAUUAUAUUGUAAAAAUAUGUGCCAAGAUUUAUCUUUAGGAUGUUUAAACUACUUGUUUGUUGUGUGUUGUGGAAAAACAGAAACCUUUUCUGUAGUAUUUGAAUUUUCGUAAUUUAAUGGAAUAUGGAAAAAUUAUGAAAUUUUUACACAGUACUGCUAUGCAAAUUUUUUAUUACGCCAUAAUUUUUCAGAAGUUUUGGAGUUACACAAGUAUAUUUUUCAUUUGCAUCUAUACAGACUGUCCUGUUUUCAAAGAUUGUUCAUUAUAGUUUCCUUAUCCGCUUAUGUUUGAGAUCUUGUUGAGCCCCAUUGAUUUGGAAGCCAUAGAAUUGUGAUAGUAUACAAUGGGUAAUGUUUGAUUAUAAUUAUACAAUAAUGCUACAACAAGACAUGAUGGGGUUUGAUGUUAUUUGUACUAAUCCCUCUAAUAAGAAGUUUGGUUAAGUUUUGUGUGGAUGAAGUGUUCGAAGAUCGAGGAGGUAUCGAUAUGAGAAGAACAAGGACAGGAAAGUGUUCAAGCAUGGGGAUGCCCAGGGUGCCCUAAGUAAAUAUUCAAGGAGACUCAAGCGUCUAAGCUUGGGGAUGCCCCAGAAGGCAUCCAUAUUUCUUCCUCGACAAUUGUCCGUAUGUCUCUGAUUUUGUUUUGUUCACAUGAUAUGCGUAUAUUCUUGGAGUUUCGUGUGCUUUUUAAUUUUUACUUUAAUGAUGCACCAUGAUGAUAUGAGAUAGUCCUUGGUUGGUUUAUAAAAUGCUCUUUGCACUUCACUUAUAUCUUUUGAGUAUGACUUUAUAGAAUGCUUCAAGUGCUUCACUUAUAUCAUUUGAAGUUUGGAUGCACAUUCAUCUACAUUUGAAAAAAAAUGUUAUUUGUAGAAUGCUCUUUUGCUUCACUUAUAUUUAUCAAAGUGUGGCCGAGUCUUUUGUAGAAAGUAUUAAACUCUCAUGAUUCACUUAUAUCUAUUUAGAAAGUUAAACAAGAAUUGGUAUUCACAUGGUUAGUCAUAAAAUCCUACAUAAAACUUGUAGAUCACUGAAUAUGAUAAGUUUGAUUCUUUGCAAUAGUUUUGUGAUAUUGAGGUGGUAAUAUGGGGGAAUUCUAGUAAAAGAAUUAAAGUUCAGUAUUAAUAAUGGUGUUAAGGGAAGUAAGUCUUUACGCAAGUAAAUCCUCAUGCAUGUAAAAUGGCGUCCGCUGACAUUAGUGGUGAGGUUGCAGCAUAUUUUAUCAUUGAUUAAUCCUUUGUGUUGUCUAAAUCAGGGGUGCGCGAUGGUUAACUCCUCCCAACCACCUCCCUAGGGGCAUGCGAGUAAUACUUUGCUUCGAGGGCUUUGAAAUUUUCACAAUAAGUACCUGAGUUUCUCCCACCUAUCCAUAUUUUGCUAGCCACUUCGGUACUGUGCAUUGCCCGUUCUCACCUUGAGACUUGGUGCAAAUUUCAACAGUGCAUCCAAACCCCGUGAUAUGAUACGCUCUAUCACACAUAAGCCUCAUUAUAUCCUUCCUCAAAACAACCACCAUACCUGCCUAUCAUGGCAUUUUCAUAGCCAUUCCAAGAUAUAUUGCUAUGCAACUUCCACCAUUGACAACCCACAAGUAUAGGGGAUCGCAACAGUUUUUGAGGGUAGAGUAUUCAACCCAAAUUUAUUGAUUCGACACAAGGGAAGCCAAAGAAUAUUCACGAGUAUUAGCAGCUGAGUUGUCAAUUCAACCACACAUGAAAGACUUAAUAUCUGCAGCAAAAUAUUCAGUACCAAAGUAGUAUGGAAGUAACGGUGACGGUGACAAAAGUAACCAUAGCAGUUUUAUAGUGAUUGUAACAACAGUAGCAGCGAAAGUAACUUAGCAAAGAUCAAUAUGUGAAAAGCUCAUAGGCAAUGGAUCGACAAUGAUAAUUGUGUCGUAUGAUGUUCAUCAUGUAGCAUCCAUAACCUAGGGUGACACAGAACUAGCUCCAAUUCAUCAAUAUAAUGUAGGCAUAUAGUUCGUAUAUAGUCAUAUGUGCUUAUGGAAAAGAACUUGCAUGACAUCUUUUGUCCUACCCUCCCGUGGUAGCGGGGUCCUAGUGGAAACUAAGGGAUAUUAAGGCCUCCUUCUAAUAGAGAACCGGACCAAAGCAUUAGCACUUAGUGAAUACAUGAACUCCUCAAACUAAGGUAAUCACCAGAAAGAAUCCCAAUUAUUGUCACCUUGGUUAUGUGGAUCAUAACUCAUAAUAAGUGUCUACAACUUGCAAGCUAGGAUCAAGAACACAAAUAUAUUCAUGAAAACAUAAUAGGUUCAGAUUUGAAAUCAUGGCACUCGGGACCUAGUGACAAGCAUUAAGCAUAGCAAAGUCAUAGCAACAUCAAUCUCAGAACAUAAUGGAUACUAGUGAUCAAACCAUAACAAAACUAACUCGAUUACAUGAUAAAUCUCAUCCAACCCAACACCGUCCAGCAAGCCUACGAUGGAAUUACUCACUUCCGGCGGUGAGCAUCACGAAAUUGGUGAUGAUGAUUGAUGUCUACUACACAACCUUCUUCUUGUAGACGUUGUUGGGCCUCCAAGUGCAGAGGUUUGUAGGACAGUAGCAAAUUUCCCUCAAGUGGAUGACCUAAGGUUUAUCAAUCCGUGGGAGGUGUAGGAUGAAGAUGGUCUCUCUCAAACAAUCUUGCAACCAAAUAACAAAGAGUCUCUUGUGUCCCCAACACACCCAAUACAAUGGUAAAUUGUAUAGGUGCACUAGUUCGGAGAAGAGAUGGUGAUACAAGUGCAAUAUGGAUGAUAGAUAUAGGUUUUUGUAAUCUGAAAAUAUAAAAACAGCAAGGUAACUAAUGAUAAAAGUGAGCGAAAACGGUAUUGCAAUGCGUUGAAACAAGGCCUAGGGUUCAUACUUUCACUAGUGCAAGUUCUCUCAACAAUAAUAACAUAAUUGGAUCAUAUAACAAUCCCUCAACAUGCAACAGAGAGUCACUCCAAAGUCACUAACAGCGGAGAACAAACAAAUGGAUUAUUGUAGGGUAUGAAACCACCUCAAAGUUAUUCUUUCUGAUCGAUCUAUUCAAGAGUCCGUAGUAAAAUAACACGAAGCUAUUCUUUCCGUUCAAUCUAUCCUAGAGUUCGCACUAGAAUAACACCCUAAGACAUAAAUCAACUAAAACCCUAAUGUCACCUCAAGUAUCAGUGGGUAUGAUUAUACGAUAUGCAUCACACAAUCUCAGAUUCAUCUAUUCAACCAACACAAAGAACUUCAAAGAGUGCCCCAAAGUUUCUACCGGAGAGUCAAGACGAAAAUGUGUGCCAACCCCUAUGCAUAAGUUCACGAGGUCACGGAACCCGCAAGUUGAUCACCAAAACAUACAUCAAGUAGAUAACGUGAAUAUCCCAUUGUCACCACAGAUAAGCACAUGCAAUACAUACAUCAACUGUUCUCAAAUCCUUAAAGACUCAAUCCAGUAAGAUAACUUCAAAGGGAAAACUCGAUCCAUUACAAGAGAGUAGAGGGGGAGAAACAUCAUAAGAUCCAACUAUAAUAGCAAAGCUCGUGAUACAUCAAGAUCAUGCGAAUCAAGAACACGAGAGAGAGAGAGAGAGAUCAAACACAUAGCUACUGGUACAUACCCUCAGCCCCGAGGGUGAACUACUCCCUCCUUGUCAUGAAGAGCUCCGGGAUGAUGAAGAUGGCCACCGGAGAGGGAUUCCCCCCCCCCCUCCGACAGGGUGCCGGUACGGGUCUAGAUUGGUUUUCGAUGGCUACGGAGGCUUGUGGCGAUGGAACUCCCUAUCUAGGUUAUUUUCUGGAAGUUUCUGUAUUUAUAGGAAGUUUUGGCGUCGGGAACAAGUCAGGGGGGUCCCCGAGUCGUCCACGAGAUAGGGCGGCGCGCCCGGGGGGUAGGGCGCGCCCCCACCCUCAUGGACGGCCCGGGACUCUUCUGGCCCAACUCUUUUACUCCGGGGGCUUCUUUUGGUCCAUAAAAAAUCAUCAAAAAUUAGCACAUCAAUUGGACUCCAUUUGGUAUUCCUUUUGUGUAAAACUCAAAACAAGGAAAAAACAGAAACUGACACUGGGCUCUAGGUUAAUAGGUUAGUCCCAAAAAUCAUAUAAAAUACCAUAUAAAUGCAUAUAAAACAUCCUAGAUGGAUAAUAUAAUAGCAUGGAACAAUCAAAAAUUAUAGAUACGUUGGAGACGUAUCAAGCAUCCCCAAGCUUAAUUCCUGCUCGUCCUCGAGUAGGUAAAUGAUAAAAACAGAAUUUCUGAUGUGGAAUGCUACCUAACAUAAUUUUCAAUGUAAUUUUCUUUAUUGUGACAUGAAUAUUCAGAUCCGAAAGAUUCAAGACAAAAGUUUAAUAUUGACAUAAAAACAAUAAUACUUCAAGCAUACUAACCAAGCAAUUAUGUCUUCUCAAAAUAACAUAGCCAAAGAAAGCUCAUCCCUACAAAAUCAUAUAGUUUGGCCAUGCUUCAUUUUCGUCACACAAAAUGCUCCGAUCAUGCACAACCCCGAUGACAAGCCAAGCAAUUGUUUCAUACUUUAGUAUUCUCAAACUUUUUCAACUUUCACGCAAUACAUGAGCGUGAGCCAUGGGCAUAACACUAUAGGUGGAACAGAAUAUGAUGAUGGAGGCUGUGUGAAGAAGACAAAAAAGGAGAAAAUCUCACAUCAACGCGGCUAAUCAACGGGCUAUGUAGAUGCCCAUCAAUUGAUGUCAAUGCGAGGAGUAGGGAUUGCCAUGCAACGGAUGCACUAGAGCUAUAAAUGUAUGAAAGCUCAACAAAAGAAACUAAGUGGGUGUGCAUCCAACUUGCUUCCUCACAAAGACCUAGGGCAUUUGAGGAAGCCCAUCGUUGGAAUAUACAAGCCAAGUUCUAUAAUGAAAAUUCCCACUAGUAUAUGAAAGUGACAAAAUAAGAGACUCUCUAUCAUGAAGAUCAUGGUGCUACUUUGAAGCACAAGUGUGGAAAAAUGAUAGUAGCAUUGCCCCUUCUCUCUUCUUCUCUCAUUUUUUUGUUUUUUGGGCCUUCUCUCUUUUUUUGGCCUUUCUCUUUUUUUUCUUUUUUUCUUUUUUUCUCACACGGGACAAUGCUCUAAUAAUGAUGAUGAUCACACUUCUAUUUAUUUACAACUCAAGGAUUACAACUCAACACUUAGAACAAAAUAUGACUCUAUAUGAAUGCCUCCGGCGGUGUACCGGGAUGUGCAAUGAAUCAAGAGUGACGUGUAUGAAAAUAUUAUGAAUGGUGGCUUUGCCACGAAUACGAUGUCAACUACAUGAUCAUGCAAAGCAAUAUGACAAUGAUGAAGCGUGUCAUAAUAAAUGGAACGGUGGAAAGUUGCAUGGCAAUAUAUCUCGGAAUGGCUAUGGAAAUGCCAUAAUAGGUAGGUAUGGUGGCUGUUUUGAGGAAAAUAUAAGGAGGCUUAUGUGUGAUAGAGCGUAUAGUAUCACGGGGUUUGGAUGCACCGGCGAAGUUUGCACCAACUCUCGAGAUGAGAAAGGGCAAUGCAUAGUACCGAAGAGGCUAGUAAUGAUGGAAGGGUGAGAGUGCGUAUAAUCCAUGGACUCAACAUUAGUCAUAAAGAACUCACAUACUUAUUGCAUAAAUCUACAGGUCAUCAAAACCAAAUACUACGCACAUGCUCCUAGAGGGAUAGAUUGGUAGGAAAAGACCAUCGCUCGUCCCCGACCGCCACUCAUAAGGAAGGCAAUCAAAGAACACCUCAUGCUUCAAAUUUGUCACACAACGGUUACCAUACGUGCAUGCUACAGGACUUGCAAACCUCAACACAAGUAUUUCUCAAUUUCACAAUUACUCAACUAGCAUGACUCUAAUAUCACCAUAUUUAUAUCUCAAAACAAUUAUCAAGUAUCAAACUUCUCAUAGUAUUCAAUGCACUCUAUAUGAAAGUUUUUAUUAUAUCCCUCUUGGAUGCCCAUCAUAUUAGGACUAAAUUCAUAACCAAAGAAAAUUACCAUGCUGUUCUAAAAGACUCUCAACAUAAUAUAAGUGAAGCACUGAGAGUUCAUCAAUUUCUUCAAAAAUAAAACUACCAUCAUGCUCUAAAAAGGUAUAAGUGAAGCACUAGAGCAAAUGACAAACUACUCCGAAAGAUAUAAGUGAAGAUCAAUUAGUAGUCGAAUAAUUAUGUAACUAUGUGAAGACUCUCUAACAUUUAAUAAUUUCAGAUCUUGGGAUAUUAUUCAAACAGCAAUCAAAACAAAAUAAAAUUAAAUGACGCUCCAAGCAAAACACAUAUCAUGUCGUGAAUAAAAAUAUAGCUCCAAGUAAAGUUACCAAUGAACGAAGACGAAAGAGGGGAUGCCAUCUGGGGCAUCCCCAAGCUUAGGCUCUUGGUUGUCCUUGAAUAUUACCUUGGGGUGCCUUGGGUAUUCCCAAGCUUAGGCUCUUGCCACUCCUUAUUCCAUAGCCUAUCGAAUCUUUACCCAAAACUUGAAAACUUCACCACACAAAACUCAACAGAAAACUCGUAAGCUCCGUUAGUAUAAGAAAGCAAAUCACCACUUAGGUACUGUCAAGACAAGAUUCAUAAUUUUUAUCACAUUAUGCCUACUGUACCAUAUCAUUUCUACAAUUUAUAUUAAGCAAUAUAAGCCAUAGAAACUAGAAAACAAGCAAACUAUGCAUCGAAAACAGAAUCUGCCAAAAACAGAACAAUCUGUAGUAAUCUGUAACUCUUGAAUACUUAUGUAACUCCAAAAAUCCUGAGAAAUUAUGAAGUCCUAGGAAAUUCCUUUAUUGAUCUACUUCAGUUGGAAAUGGUAUUUUAUCACUCUCUGGUAAAAAAUGAAAAUUAUUUUCGCGAGAGCAUACUUUCUAUUUUUAUCCGCAAGAUCAAACAAUAAUCACCCAAGAAGAUCCUAAAGGCUUUACUUGGCACAAACACUAAUUAAAACAUAAAAACACAAUUAUAACAGAAGCUAUAUGAAUAAUUUAUUACUAAACAGGAGCAACAAGCAAAGAACAAAAAUAAAAUUGGGUUGCCUCCCAACAAGCGCUAUCGUUUAACGCUCCUAGCUAGGCAUGAUGAUUUCAAUGAUGCUCACAUAAAAUAUAAGAAUUGAAACAUAAAGAGGGCAUCAUGAAGAAUAUGACUAGCACAUUUAAGUCUAACCCUAUUCCUAUGCAUAGGGAUUUUGUGAGCAAACAACUUGUGGGGACAAGAAUCAACUUGCAUACGAAGGUAAAACAAGCAUAACUUCAAGAUUUUAAGCACAUAGAGAGGAAACUUGAUAUUAUUGCAAUUCCUACAAGCAUAUAUUCCUUCCUCAUAAUAAUUUUCAGUAGCAUCAUGAAUGAAUUCAACAAUAUAACCAUCACAUAAAGCAUUCUUUUCAUGAUCUACAAGCAUAGAAUUUUUAUUACUCUCCACAUAAGCAAAUUUCUUCUCAUGAAUAGUAGUGGGAGCAAACUCAACGAAAUAACUAUCAUGUGAGGUAUAAUACAAUUGAAAAUUAAAAUCAUGAUGACAGGUUUCAUGGUUAUAAUUAUUAUUUAUAGCAUACAAGUCAUCACAAUAAUCAUCAUAAAUAGGGGGCAUGCUCUCAUCAUAAUAAAUUUGCUCAUCAAAACUUGCGGGACAAAAAAUAUCAUCUUCAUAGCAUCCCCAAGCUUGUGGAUUUGCAUAUCAUUAGCAUCAUGGGUAUUCAAAGAAUUAAUACUAACAACAUUGCAAUCAUGCUCAUCAUCCAAAGAUUUAGUGCAAACAUUUUAAUACAUUCUUCUUUUAACACUUUGGCACAAUUAUAGGAAUCCUUAUUUUCAUGAAGGCAUUAAAAAGAUGAAGCAUAUGAGGCAACCUUAAUUCCAUUUUUUUGUAGUUUUCUUUUGUAGACUAAACUAGUGAUAAAACAAGAAACUAAAAGAUUUGAUUGCAAGAUCUAAAGAUAUACCUUCAAGCACUAACCUCCCCAGCAACGGCGCCAGAAAAGAGCUUAGUUGACGGGGUGUUAGUGCCGCUUACCUAGCCUCCCCGGCAACGGCGCCAGAAAAGAGAUUGAUGUCUACUACACAACCUUCUUCUUGUAGACAUUGUUGGGCCUCCAAGUGCAGAAGUUUGUAGGAUACUAGCAAAUUUCCCUCAAGUGGAUGACCUAAGGUUUAUCAAUCCGUGGGAGGCGUAGGAUGAAGAUGGUCUCUCUCAAACAACCCUGCAACCAAAUAACAAAGAGUCUCUUGUGUCCCCAACACACCCAAUACAAUGGUAAAUUUUAUAGCCCUAGUUCGUAGAAGAGAUGGUGAUACAAGUUCAAUAUGGAAGGUAGAUAUAUGUUUUUAUACCUGAAAAUAUAAAAAUAGCAAGGUAACUAAUGAUAAAAGUGAGGGAAAACGGUAUUGCAAUGCGUUGAAACAAGGCCUAGGGUUCAUACUUUCACUAGUGCAAGUUCUCUCAACAAUAAUAACAUAAUUGGAUCAUAUAACAAUCCCUCAACAUGCAACAAAGAGUCACUCCAAAGUCACUAACAGUGGAGAAAAAACGAAGAGAUUAUUGUAGGGUACGAAACCACAUCAAAGUUAUUCUUUCUGAUCGAUCUAUUCAAGAGUCCAUAGUAAAAUAACACGAAGCUAUUCUUUCUGUUCAAUCUAUCCUAGUGUUUGUACUAGAAUAACACCCUAAGACACAAAUCAACCAAAACCCUAAUGUCACCUAGAUACUCCAAUGUCACAUCAAGUAUCUGUGGGUAUGAUUAUACGAUAUGCAUCACACAAUCUCAGAUUCAUCUAUUCAACCAACACAAAGAACUUCAAAUAGUGCCCCAAAGUUUCUACCGGAGAGUCAAGACGAAAAUGUGUGCCAACCCCUAUGCAUAAGUCACGAGGUCACGGAACCCGCAAGUUGAUCACCAAAACAUACAUCAAGUAGAUCACGUGAAUAUCCCAUUGUCACCACAGAUAAGCACAUGCAAGACAUACAUCAAGUGUUCUCAAAUCCUUAAAGACUCAAUCCAGUAAGAUAACUUCAAAGGGAAAACUCAAUCCAUUACAAGAGAGUAGAGGGGGGGGGGAAACAUCAUAAGAUCCAACUAUAAUAGCAAAGCUCGCGAUACAUCAAGAUCGUGCGAAUCAAGAACACGAGAGAGAGAGAGAGAGAGAGAGAGAGAGAGAGAGAGAGAGAUCAAACACAUAGCUACUGGUACAUACCCUCAGCCCCGAGGGCGAACUACUCCCUCCUCGUCAUGGAGAGCGCCGGGAUGAUGAAGAUGGCCACUGGAGAGGGAUUCCCCCCCCCCACUCCAGCAGGAUGCCGGAACGGGUCUAGAUUGGUUUUCGGCGGCUAUGGAGGCUUGCGGCGGCGGCACUCCCUACCUAGGUUAUUUUCUAGAGGUUUCUGUAUUUGUAGGAAUUUUUGGCGUCAGGAACAAGUCAGGGGGGUCCCCGAGUCGUCCACGAGAUAGGGCGGGACUCUUCUGGCCCAACUCUUUUACUCUGGGGGCUUCUUUUGGUCCGUAAAAAAUCAUCAAAAAUUGGCACGUUAAUUGGACUCCAUUUGGUAUUCCUUUUCUAUAGAACUCAAAAACAAGGAAAAAACAGAAACUGGCACUGGGCUCUAGGUUAAUAGAUUAGUCCCAAAAAUCAUAUAAAAUACCAUAUAAAUGCAUAUAAAACAUCCUAUAUGGAUAAUAUAAUAGCAUGGAACAAUAAAAAAUUAUAGAUACGUUGGAGACGUAUCAAUGAUGGCGACGAAUCCCCCUCUCCGGAGCCCUGAAUGGAGUCCAAAUCAGCCUUCCUGAUGAAGAACAGGAGGCGGCGGCAGCUCCGUAUCAUAGAACACGAUGAAUCCUUCUCUCUCAUUUUUUAUCCGCGAAUAGGUACUUAUAGAGUUGGAACUAGGGUCGGAGGAGCUCCAGGGGCUCACAAGCCUGCAGGGCGCGCCCCCAGGGCUUCUGGCCUCUGGGUGGCCCCCCUUUGGUUGAUUCUUGCGCCAAUAUUUUUUAUAUAUUCCAAAAAUAUUCUCCAUAAAUUUUUAGGUCAAUCCGAGAACUUCUAUUGCUGCACAAAAAUAACACCAUGGUAAUUCUGCUGAAAACAACGUCAGUCCAGGUUAGUUCCAUUCAAAUCAUGCAAGUUAGAGUCCAAAACAAGGGCAAAUGAGUUUGGAAAAGUAGAUACGACGGAGACGUAUCAACUCCCCCAAGCAUAACCCAUUGCUUGUGCUCAAGCAAUUCAGUUGAGAAACUGAAAGUGACAAAGAAAAUCUUUUACAAACUCUGUUUGAUCUUGUUGUUGCAAAUAUGCAUGGCCAGUGUCGAGGUUUUUAGCAAAGAUUAUGAACUAACCAUGUUCACAAUAACAUUUAGGUCUCACAUGUACUUAUAUCAACAGUACAAUAAACUAGCGAGCAAUAAUAAUGAAUCUUGGAUGACAACACUUUUUCAAAACAAUCAUGAUAUACUAUAACAAAAUGGUAUCUCGCUAGCCCUUUCUGAGACCACAAAACAUAAGUGCAGAGCACCCGUGAAGAUUAAGGACUGACUAGAUAUUAUAAUUCAUGGGAAAAGAGAUCCGGUCACACUCAUAUUCAAUAUCAAUUAAUAACAAAGCAUAAAAAUGACAAUGGUGCUCUCUAACUAGUGCUUUUUUAUGAGAGGAUGAUGACUCAACAAUAAAAGUAGAUAGAUAGGCCCUUCGCAGAGGGGAGCAGGGAUUUGCAGAGGUGCCAGAGCUCGAGCUUUUAGAACAGAGAUGGAUAUAAUUUUGAGCGGUGUGCUUUGAUUGUCAACAUAACAACCAAGAGAUCUCACUAUCUACCAUGCUAGAUACAUUAUAGGCGGUUCCCAAACAGAAUGGUAAAGUUUUUACUCCCCCUCCACCAACAAUCACACUCCACGGCUAACCGAAUCCACGGGUACCGUCCAUACCAACAAUAGUCCUGGGGGAGUUUUGUUUGAUAUUUAUAUUUUGAAUUGAUUUUGAGCAUGGAACUGGGCAUCUCAAUUACCAGCCACUUUCUCGUGAAUGACAAGUGAAUAAACACCCGUCUUGAGAAUAACCCACCUAGGAUGGAAGAUACUGAUAGCCCCCAGUCACUACAUAGCGAUUCGGGCAUACAAAACAUAUUAUUAUUUGAAGGUUUAGAGUUUGGCACAUGCAAAUUUACUUCGGAAGGGUGGGUAAAUACCACAUAUAGGUAGGUAUGGUGGCUCAUAUGGAACAACUUUAGGUUUAAGGAAGUGGAUGCACAAGUAGUAUUCCCUCUUAGUACAAGUGAAGGCUAGCAAAAGAUUGAGGAGUGACCAACUAGAGAGCGACAGUGGUCAUAAACAUGCAUUGAGAUUAACCAACAUUGAGUGCAGGCAUGAGUAGGAUAUAAAUCACCAUGAACAUAAAUAUCAUGGAGACUAUGUUGUUUUUGUUUCAACUAUAUGCGUGAACAUGUGCCAAGUCAAGCCACUUGAAUCAUUCAAAGUAGGAUACCAUCCUAUCAUACUACAUCACAACCAUUUUAAAAGCAUGUUGGCAUGCAAGGUACACCAUUAUCCACUCCUAGCUAAUUAAGCAUGGCAUGAGCAACUAUAAUCUCUAAUGUCAUUGCAAACACGUCUCAUUCAUAAUGGGCCGAAUCAAGAACGAUGAGCUAAUCAUAUUUACAAAAAUAAAAUAGGUCAAGUUCGUACCAGCUUUUCUCCAUCUCAAUCAAUUCAUCAAAUAUCAUCAUUAUUGCCUUUCACUUGCACGACUGUGGAUAAUAAUAAGAGUGCACGUGCAUUGGACUAAUCUGGAAUCUGCAAACAUUUAUUUGAAGGAGAAGACAAGGUAAUAUGGGCUCUUUGUUAGAUCAACAAUAAUGCAUAUGAGAGCCACUCAACAUUUUCAUCGUGGUCUUCUCCUUAUGACCCAAAGAAAAGAAAAAGAAUUUCAAAGAAACACACCGAAAUAUAUUUUUUGAGUUUUUGUUUUUCUGAAGAAAGUGAAACAAGAAUGAGAAAACUAUUUACAUGGGAAAGCUCCCAACAAGCAAAAGAAGAACAAGAAAUCUUUUUGGGUUUUCUUUUAAUACCAAUACUAAAUGAACUAGAAAGAAAAACUAAAAAGAAGCAAAAACUAUUUUUUUGUAUUUUCUCAAAGUUUUUCAAACACACAAGAAGAAAGCAAGAAAAAUAAACUAGCAUGGAUGAUACAAUGGAAAAGUAUGAACACCGACAAUUGAAAUGAGUGUGUGAACAUGAAUGUAAUGUUAGUGAGAGAUACAUACUCCCCCAAGCUUAGGCUUCUGGCCUAAGUUGGUAUAGGGCCACGGCUCGAAAUAACCCUCUCCUCAAUACUCCGGAGGGUCCUGAGGGUUCCACUGGUUGGCGAGCUCCUGUGGCUCCCACUAAAAAACAGGCUCCUAAUACGGAUCAGGAACUGGUGCUGGCUUAGGUGCUGGGGGUUGUGGAAGACCCCAAAAUCUGUAGAUGUCCUCAGUCAUAAUAGUGUACCUGCCUGAACGAAUACCAAACAAAGAAGAAGCAUGCAGAGCAAUAGUCUCAUAAGUACCCUGACUAAAUACUAGGUUGUAGAGGAUUCUCUUGUCCUUAUCUUUCUCAAAAUCGUGUGCUACCAUACUAUUAUAGUACCAAUAUCUAGUGGGUAGCGGCAUCGAUAUCUCCUCCUCCUCCUCAUGCCUAAUAGGUAUCUCAAAGCAUCUAGCAAGGCGUGAGGCAUAGAUACCUCCAAAGAUGGGACCGUUCGUGCGGUUUGUGUUUAACCGACGGGCAACAAUGACGCCCAAGCUAAAAGUUCUAUCACAAUAUAAAGCAUCGUGCAAAAUAGCAAAGGUCCGGGGCACUAAGGCCUCUGCUCUCCCCACAACCAAUCAAACAUCUCCCAGCAAAAAGUGAAUAAUAGUGUAAAACAGGAAAAUGUAAGCUAGCCACUCUCGCUUCCGACACACCUCUUUCUUCCCCUGCAGUAGUUUCAGCAAUAAAGUCUUCCACGUCUCUAGGAUGUGGUUCACUGACGCUGCCCUCAUAAGGUAAUUUGCAAACUUCGCUACAAUCAUAAAGCGCUAAAAAUAAAAGAAUGGACGCGAGAGACGCUUUGUGCUGUUUGUGUUAUGAAAUCGAAUUUGUUCAUCUCCAGGUAACUCCAUCUUUUUCAGCUCUGCUCGCUCACUUUUGAAAGGAAAGGAGACUGAUCUUGACGUCGACGUUGGUUUUUCCAAUGAAACAAAUAUUUUUUGGAUUCUCCUUAUGAUUAUCAUAUAAAUAAAACUCUACCAUGGGUGGCGACUUCCUAGAAUAGAAGUGAACAUUUUGCACGAAGGUGUUAGUGAGCAGAAGGUAUUGUUCACACUUAUCUUGGAGGAAGGCGGUGAGGCCGACAUUCUUCGCCAAAUAAUAGAAAUCAUCAUAAAUUCUGGCCGCCCUCAAGAAUGCAUCGCUUGGCCAUUCACAUGGACGAACCUCCGCUGCACGCGGAAGAUUUGUACUUGGGCUUCUUCUUCUCAUCAUUUUCAUUUUUACUUGAAUUCCGGCUUGAAGAACCCCUUAAUGAUCUCCUCAUCAUUUCUUUCAUUUUCUCUAAAAUUUUCUAAAUUUUUUAGUGACUCAAAAUAAAAGUGAACAAAACUCAAUAAGAUUGAUAGCAACUACUCCCACAAGUGUCUAGAGGCUAUAUCAUGCAACAAAACUAUAAAUUUGACAUGCAAGCUCAAGAACAAGGUCACCACAGCAGCAAAAAUUUGCAAUAUAUAAAGCACUAGAACAAAAACUAAUUGGACCAAUGAAGGAGUCACAUACCGAAGAACAAAUCUCCAAAAUAGUUUCAGAAACAAAGCUCUAAGCAAGGGGGUGGGUCAAGGAAAUAUGCCCUAGAGGCAAUAAUAAAGUUGUUAUUUACAAUUCCUUAUAUCAUAAAUGUUUAUUAUUCAUGCUAGAAUUGUAUUAACCAGAAACUUAGUACAUGUUUGAAUACAUACACAACCAGAGUGUCCCUAGUAUGCCUCUACUUGACUAGCUCGUUAAUCAAAGAUGGUUAAGUUUCCUAACCAUAGACAUGUGUUGUCAUUUGAUGAACGAGAGCACAUCAUUAGAGAAUGAUGUGAUGGACAAGACCCAUCCAUUAGCUUAGCAUACUGAUCGUUUAGUUUUAUUGCUAUUGCUUUCUUCAUGACUUAUACAUGUUCCUCUGACUAUGAGAUUAUGCAACUCCCGAAUACCGGAGGAACACCUUGUGUGCUAUCAAACAUCACAACGUAAUUGGGUGAUUAUAAAGAUGCUCUACAGGUGUCUCCAAUGGUGUUUGUUGAGUUGGCAUAGAUUGAGAUUAGGAUUUGUCACUUUGUGUAUCGGAGAGGUAUCUCUGGGCCCUCUCGGUAAUGCACUCACUAUGAUCUUGCAAGCAAUGUGACUAAUGAGUUAGUUACAAGAUGAUGCGUUACGGAACGAGUAAAGAGACUUGCCGAUAACGAGAUUGAACUAGGUAUGAUGAUACCAUUGAUCGAAUCUCGGGCAAGUAACAUACCGAUGACAAAAGGGAACAACGUAUGUUGUUAUGCGGUUUGACCGAUAAAGAUCUUCGUAGAAUAUGUGGAGCCAAUAUGAGCAUCCAGGUUCCGCUAUUGGUUAUUGACUGGAGAUAUGUCUCGGUCAUGUCUACAUAGUUCUCGAACCCGUAGGGUCCGCACGCUUAAUGUUCGAUGACGAUUUGUAUUAUGAGUUAUGUGUUUUGAUGACCGAAGAUUGUUCAAAGUCCCGGAUGAGAUCACGAACAUGACUAGGAGUCUCGAAGUGGUCGAGAGGUAAAGAUUCAUAUAUUGGAAGGUUGCAUUCAAACACCGGAAUGGUUCCGAAGUGUUUCAGGUAUUUUUCGGAGUACUUGGAGGUUACCGGACCCCCCGGGGAAGUAGUGGGCCAUAAUGGGCUUUAGUGGAAAGGAGAGAAGGGCCUCAAGGGGUGGCGGCGCCCCCCCAUGGCUGGUCCGAAUUGGACUAGGAGGGGGCGGCGCCCCCCUCUUCCUCUUUCCCUCCUUCUCCUUGUUGGAAUAGGAAGGGGCAAAUCCUACUUGGACCGGGAGUCCAAGUAGGACUCCCCCCUUUGGCGCACCCCCUUGGGCCGGCCUCCUCUUCCCCCUCCUUUAUAUACGUGGGAGGGGGCACCCCGAUGGCACACCAAGUCUUCUCUUAGCUGUGUGCGGUGCCCCCCUCCAUAGUUACACACCUCGGUCAUAUAGUCGUAGUGCUUAGGCGAAGCCUUGUGCCGUUAACUUCAUCAUCACCGUCAACAUGCCAUCGUGCUGACGAAACUCUCCCUCGUCCUCAACUGGAUCAAGAGCUCGAGGGACGUCAUCGUGCUGAACGUGUGCUGAACACGGAGGUGUCGUACGUUCGGUGCUAGGAUCGGUUGGAUCCCGAAGACGUUCGACUACAUCAACCGCGUUACUAAACACUUCCGCUUUUGGUCUACGAGGGUACGUGGACACACUCUCCCUUCUCGUUGCUAUGCAUCUCCUAGAUAGAUCUUGCGUGAUCAUAGGAUUUUUUUUGAAAUACUGCGUUCCCCAACAGUGGCAUCCGAGCCAGGUCUAUGCGUAGAUGUUAUUUGCACGAGUAGAACACGAAGAGUUGUGGGCGAUAAUAGUCAUGCUGCUUACCACCAACGUCUUACUUUGAUUUGAUGGUAUUGUUGGAUGAAGCGGCCCUGACCAACAUUACAUGACCGCGUUCAUGAGAUUGGUUCUACCGACGUGCUUCGCACACAGGUGGCUGGCGGGUGUCUGUUUCUCCAACUUUAGUUGAAUCGAGUUUGACUACGGCUGGUCCUUGUUGAAGGUUAAAACAACACACUUGACGAAAAAUCUUUGUGGUUUUGAUGCGUAGGUAAGAACCGUUCUUGCUAGAAGCCCGUAGCAGCCACGUAAAACUUGCAACAACAAAGUAGAUGAUGUCUAACUUGUUUUUGCAGGGCAUGUCGUGAUGUGAUAUGGUCAAGACGUGAUGAGAUAUAAAUUGUUCUAUGAGAUGAUCAUGUUUUGUAAAAGUUAUCGGCAACUAGCAGGAGCCUUAUGGUUGUCGCUUUAUUGUAUGAAAUGCAAUCGCCAUGUAAUUGAUUUACUUUAUCACUAAGCGAUAGCGAUGGUCGUAGAAGCAAUAGUUGGCGAGACGACAACAAUGCUACGAUGGAGAUCAAGAUGUCAAGCCGGCGAUGAUGGAUAUUAUGACGAUGCUUUGAAGAUGGAGAUCAAAGGCCCAAGAUGAUGAUGGCCAUAUCGUCACAUAUUUUGAUUGCUUGUGAUGUUUAUCUUCUAUGCAUUUUAUUUUCCUUAGUACGGAAGUAGCAUUAUAAGAUGAUCUCUCACUAAAUUUUAAGGUACAAGUGUUCUCCCUGAGUAUGUACCGUUGCUACAGUUCGUCGUGCCGAGACACCACGUGAUGAUCGGGUGUGAUAAGCUCUACGUUCACAUACAAUGGGUGCAAGCCAGUUUUGCACAUGCAGAAUACUCGGGUUAAACUUGACGAGCCUAGCAUAUGCAGAUAUGGCCUCAGAACAUUGAGACCGAAAGGUCGAACGUGAAUCAUAUAAUAGAUAUGAUCAACAUAGUGAUGUUCACCAUUGAAAACUACUCCAUCUCACGUGAUGACCGGACAUGGUUUAGUUGAUAUGGAUCCCGUGAUCAUUUAGAUGACUAGAGGGAUGUCUAUCUAAGUGGAAGUUCUUAAGUAAUAUGAUUAAUUGAACUUUAAUUUAUCAUGAACUUAGUACCUGAUAGUAUUUGCAUGUCUAUGUUGUUGUAGAUCAAUGGCCCGUGCUACCGUUCCCUUGAAUUUUAAUGCGUUCCUAGAGAAAGCUAAGUUGAAAGAUAAUGUCGCAACUACACGGAAUGGGUCCGUAACUUGAGGAUUAUCCUCAUUGAUGCAUAGAAGAAUUACGUCCUGUGAGCACCGCUAGGUGCAAGACCCGCUGCAGGAGAAACUCUGGACGUUGUGAACAUUGGGCAGAGCAAAGCUGAUGACUACUCGAUAGUUCGGCGUGCCAUGCUUUAUGGCUUAGAAUCGGGACUUCAAAGACGUUUUGAACGUCAUGGAGCAUAUGAGAUGUUCUAGGAGUUGAAGUUAAUAUUUCAAGAAAAUGCCUGAAUUGAGAGAUAUGAAGUCUGCAAUAAGUUCUAUAGCUGCAAAAUGGAGGAGAAUAGUUCUGUCAGUGAACAUAUACUCAGAAUGUCUGGGUACCACAACCACUUGACUCAACUAGGAGUUAAUCUUCCUGAUGAUAGUGUCAUUGACAGAGUUCUUCAAUCACUGCCACCAAGCUACAAAAGCUUCAUGAUGAACUAUAAUAUGCAAGGGAUGGAUAAGACAAUUCCCGAGCUCUUCACAAUGCUAAAGGCUGCGGAGGUCGAAAUCAAGAAGGAGCAUCAAGUGUUGAUGGUUAACAAGACCACUAGUUUCAAGAAAAAGGGCAAAGGGAAGAAGGGGAACUUCAAGAAGAACGGAAAGUAAGUUGCUGCUCAAGUGAAGAAGCCCAAGUCUGGACCUAAGCCUGAGACUGAGUGCUUCUACUACAAAGGGACUGGUCACUGGAAGCAGAACUGCCCCAAGUAUUUGGCGGAUAAGAAGGAUGGCAAAGUGAAAGGUAUAUUUGAUAUACAUGUUAUUGAUGUGUACCUUACUAAUGCUUGUAGUAGAGCCUGGGUAUUUGAUACUAGUUCUGUUGCUCAUAUCUGCAACUCAAAGUAGGGGCUACGGAUUAAAAGAAGAUUGGCUAAGGACGAGGUGACGAUGCACGUGGGAAAUGGUUCCAAAGUCGAUGUGAUCGCCGUCGGCACGCUACCUCUACACCUACCGUCGGGAUUAAUUUUAGACCUAAAUAAUUUUUAUUUGGUGCCAGCGUUGAGCAUCAGAAUUAUAUCUGGAUCUUGUUUGAUGCAAGACGGUUAUUCAUUUAAAUAAGACAAUAAUGGUUGUUCUAUUUAUAUGAGUGAUAUCUUUUAUGGUCAUGCACCCUUGAUGAGUGGUCUAUUUUUGUUGAAUCUCGAUUGUAGUGAUACACAUAUUCAUAAUAUUAAAGCCAAAAUAUGCAAGGUUAAUAAUGAUAGUGCAACUUAUUUGUGGCACUGCCGUUUAUGUCAUAUUGGUGUAAAGCGCAUGAAGAAACUCCAUGUUGAUGGGCUUUUGGAAUCACUUGAUGCUUGCGAACCAUGCCUCAUGGGAAAGAUGACUAAGACUCCAUUCUCCAGAACAAUGGAGUGAGCAACUGACUUCUUGGAAAUAAUACAUAUCGAUGUAUGCGGUCCGAUGAGUGUUGAGGCUUGCGGCGGUAUCGUUAUUUUCUGACCUUCACAGAUGAUUUGACAAGAUAUGGGUAUAUCUACUUGAUGAAACAUAAGUUUGAAACAUUUGAAAAGUUCAAAGAAUUUCAGAGUGAAGUGGAAAAUCAUUGUAACAAGAAAAUAAAGCUUCUACGAUCUGAUCGUGGAGGUGAAUAGUUGAGUUAUGAGUUUGGUCUUCAUUUGAAACAAUGUGGAAUAGUUUUGAAACUCACGCCACCUGGAACACCACAGCGUAAUGGUGUGUCCAAACAUCGUAACCAUACUUUAUUAGAUAUGAUGCGAUCUAUAAUGUCUCUUACAGAUUUAACGCUAUUGUUUUGGGGUUAUGCUUUAGAUAUAGAUGCAUUCACGUUAAAUAGGGCACCAUCUAAAUCCGUUGAGACGACACCAUAUGAACUGUGGUUUGGCAAGAAACCUAAGUUGUCAUUUCUUAAAGUUUGGGGCCGCGAUGCUUAUAUGAAAAAACUUCAACCUGAUAAGCUCGAACCCAAAUUAGAGAAAUGUGUCUUCAUAGGAUACCCAAAGGAGACUGUUGGGUACACCUUCUAUCAUAGAUCCGAAGGCAAGAUAUCCGUUGCUAAGAAUGUCUCCUUUCUAGAGUAGGUGUUUCUCUCGAAAGAAGUGAGUGGGAGGAAAGUAGAACUUGAUGAGGUAAUUGUACCUUCUCCCGACUUGGAAAGUAGUUCAUCACAAAAAUUAGUUCCAGUGAUUCCUACACCAAUCAGUGAGGAACCUAAUGAUGGUGAUCAUGAAACUUCAGAUCAAGUUACUACCGAACCUCGUAGGUCAACUAGAGUACGAUCCGCACCAGAGUGGUACAGUAAUCCUGUUCUGGAGGUCAUGUUACUUGACCAUGACGAACCUACGAACUAUGAGGAAGUGAUGAUGAGCUCAGAUUCCGUGAAAUGGCUUGAGGCCAUGAAAUCUGAGAUGAGAUCCAUGUAUGAGAACAAAGUGUGGACUUUGGUUGACUUGCCCGAUGAUCGACAAGCCAUAUAAAAUAAAUGGAUCUUCAAGAAGAAGACUGACGUUGACGGUAAUGUUACUGUCUACAAAGCUCGACUUAUUGCGAAAGGUUUUUGACAUGUUCAAGGAGUUGACUAUGAUGAGACCUUCUCACCCAUAGUGAUGCUUAAGUCUGUCCGAAUCAUGUUAGCAAUUGCCGCAUUUUAUGAUUAUGAAAUUUGGCAAAUGGAUGUCAAAAUUGCAUUCCUUAAUGGAUAUCUUAAAGAAGAGUUGUAUAUGAUGCAACCAGAAGGUUUAGUCAAUCCUAAAGGUGCUAACAAAGUGUGCAUGCUCCAGCGAUCCAUUUAUGGACUGGUGCAAGCCUCACGGAGUUGGAAUAUACGCUUUGAUAGUGUGAUCAAAGCAUAUGGUCUUAUACAGAUUUUUGGAUAAGCCUGUAUUUACAAGAAAGUGACUGGGAGCUCUGUAGCAUUUCUAAUAUUAUAUGUGGAUGACAUAUUGUUGAUUGGAAAUAAUACAGAAUUUCUAGAUAUCAUAAAAUGAUAUUUGAAUAAGAAUUUUUCAAUAAAAGACCUCGGUGAAGCUGCUUAUAUAUUGGGCAUCAAGAUCUAUAGAGAUAGAUCAAGACGCUUAAUUGGACUUUCACAAAGCACAUACCUUGACAAAGUUUUGAAGAAGUUCAAAAUGGAUCAGUCAAAGAAAAGGUUCUUGCCUGUGUUACAAGGUGUGAAGUUGAGUCAGACUCAAUGCCCGACCACUGCAGAAGAUAGAGAGAAAAUAAAAGUCAUUGCCUAUGCCUCAGCCAUAGGUUCUAUCAUGUAUGCAAUGCUGUGUACCAGACCUGAUGUGUGCCUUGCUAUAAGUUUAGCAGGGAGGUACCAAAGUAAGCCAGGAGUGGAUCUCUGGACAGCGGUCAAGAACAACUUGAAAUACCUGAAAAGGACUUAGGAUAUGUUUCUCGUUUAUGGAGGUGACAAAGAGCUCGUCGUAAAUGGUUACGUCGAUGCAAGCUUUGACACUGAUCUGGAUGAAUCUAAGUCAUAAACCGGAUACGUAUUUAUAUUGAAUGGUGGAGCUGUCAGUUGGUGCAGUUCCAAGCAGAGCGUCGUGGCGGGAUCUACUUGUGAAGCGGAGUACAUAGCUGCUUCAGAAGCAGCAAAUGAAGGGGUCUGGAUGAAGGAGUUCAUAUCCGAUCUAGGUGUAAUACCUAGUGCAUCGGGUCCAAUGAAAAUCUUUUGUGACAAUACUGGAGCAAUUGCCUUGGCGAAGGAAUCUAGAUUUCACAAGAGAACCAAACACAUCAAGAGACGCUUCAAUUACAUCCGUGAUCAAGUCAAGGAGGGAGACAUUGAGAUUUGCCAGAUACAUAUGGAUCUGAAUGUUGCAGAACCGUGGACUAAGCCUCUCUCACGAGCAAAACAUGAUCAUCACCAAGACUCCAUGGGUGUUAGAAUCAUUACUAUGUAAUCUAGAUUAUUGACUCUAGUGCAAGUGGGAGACUGAAGGAAAUAUGCCCUAGAGGCAAUAAUAAAGUUGUUAUUUAUAUUUUCUUAUAUCAUGAUAAAUGUUUAUUAUUCAUGCUAGAAUUGUAUUAACCGGAAACUUAGUACAUGUGUGAAUACAUAGACAAACAGAGUGUCCCUACUAUGCCUCUACUUGACUAGCUCAUUAAUCAAGGAUGGUUAAGUUUCCUAAACAUAGACAUGUGUUGUCAUUUGAUGACCGGGAUCACAUCAUUAGAGAAUGAUGUGAUGGACAAGACCCAUCAAUUAGCUUAGCAUAAUGAUCAUUUAGUUUUAUUGCUAUUACUUUCUUCAUGACUUAUACAUGUUCCUCUGACUAUGAGAUUAUGCAACUCCCAAAUACCGAAGGAACACCUUGUGUGCUAUCAAACGUCAUAACAUAACUGGGUGACUAUAAAGAUGCUCUACAGGUGUCUCCAAUGGUGUUUGUUGAGUUGGCAUAGAUCGAGAUUAGGAUUUGUCACUCCAUGUAUCGGAGAGGUAUCUCUAGGCCCUCUCGGUACUGCACAUCAUUAUGAGCCUUGCAACCAGUGUGACUAAUGAGUUAGUUAUGGGAUGAUGCAUUACGGAAUGAGUAAAGAGACUUGCCGGUAACAAGAUUGAACUAGGUAUGAAGAUACCGACGAUCGAAUCUCGGGCAAGUAACAUACCGCUGACAAAAGGGAACCAAUAUGAGCAUCGAGGUUCCGUUAUUGGUUGUUGACCGGAGAUGUGUCUCGGUCAUGUCUACAUAGUUCUCGAAUCCAUAGGGUACUCACGCUUAACGUUUGAUGACGAUUUAUAUAAUGAGUUAUGUGAUUUGAUGACGUUCGGAGUCCCGGAUGAGAUCACGGACAUGACGAGGAGUCUCCAAAUUCUUGAGAGGUAAAGAUCGAUGUAUUGGAAGGUUACAUUCGGACACGAGAAUGGUUCCGAAGUGUUUUGGGUAUUUUUUGGAGUACUGGGAGGUUACCGGGACCCCCCCAGGGAAGUAGUGGGCCUUAAUGGGCUCUAGUGGAAAGGAGAGAAGGGCCUGAAGGGGUGGCGGCGCCCCCCAUGCUUGGUCUGAAUUGGACUAGGAUGGGGCGGCACCCCCCUAUUUCCUUCUCCCCUCUUCCUCCUUCCAUCCUUCUCCUUGUUGGAAUAGGAAAGGGAGGGGGGCGAAUCCUACUUGGAUCGGGAGUCCAAGUAGGACACCCCCCUUUGGCGCUCCCCCUUGGGACGGCCUCCUCUUCCCCCCUCCUUUAUAUACGUGGGAGGGGGGAACCCCAAAGGCACACCAAGUCUUCUCUUAGCCGUGUGCGGUGCCCCCCUCCACAGUUACACACCUCGGUCAUAUCGUCGUAGUGCUUAGGUGAAGCCCUGCGCCAGUGACUUCAUCAUCACCGUGAACACGCUGUCGUGCUAACGAAACUCUCCCUCGUCCUCAACUGGAUCAAGAGCUCGAGGGACGUCAUCAUGCUGAAUGUGUGCUAAACACGGAGGUGCCGUACGUUUGGUGCUAGGACCGGUUGGAUCGCGAAGACGUUCGACUACAUCAACCACGUUACUAAAUGCUUCCGCUUUUGGUCUACGAGGGUAUGUGGACACACUCUCCCCUCUCGCUGCUAUGCAUCUCCUAGAUAGAUCUUGCGUGAUCGUAGGAAAUUUUUUAAAACACUGCGUUCCCCAACAAUGGGCGCGCCCCCAGGGCUUGUGGCCUCUGGGUGGCCCCCCUGUGGUUGAUUCUUGCGCCAAUAUUUUUUAUAUAUUCCAAAAAUAUUCUCCUUAAUUUUUCAGGUCAAUCCGAGAACUUUUAUUUAUGCACAAAAAUAACACCAUGGCAAUUCUGCUGAAAACAGCUUCAGUCCAGGUUAGUUCCAUUCAAAUCAUGCAAGUUAGAGUCCAAAACAAGGGCAAAAGAGUUUGGGAAAGUAGAUACUAUGGAGACAUAUCAACCAUCAUCGUAUACAUGACUUGAGCAUUCUUUGUCAUAUUGCUUUGCAUGAUCGUAAGAUAGCUAGCAUGAUAUUUUCAUGGCUUGUCCAUUGUUUUUUUGAUAUCUUCGCUACACUAGAUCAUUGCACAUCCUGGUACACUGCCAGAGGCAUUCAUAUAGAUCCAUAUUCUUUUAGUUUAUCAAGUUGUAAGUAAAUAAAAGUGUGAUCCAUUCUAGACCCUACAUGUGAGGAUAUAAAAAAGAGAGGCCAAAAAUAACCCACCAAAAAGAGAAAACAAAAAGAAUGAGAGAAAAAGAGAGAGGGGGCACACUACUAUCCUUUUACCACACUUGUGCUUCUAAGUAGCACAAUGUUCUUCAUAUAGAGAGUCUCCAUCAGUGGUCACUACUAGUGGGAAUUUUUAAGUAUAGAACUUGGCUUAUAUAUUCCGAUGACGGGCUUCCUCAAAUGCCUGAGGUCUUCAUGAUCAAGCAAGUUGGAUGUACACCCACUUAUUUUCAGUAGUGACCUUUCAUACACUUAUAGCUCUAGUGCAUAUGUUGCAUGGGAGUCCCUACUCCUCACAUCGAUAUCGAUUGAAAGGCAUCUCCAUUGCCUAACGAUUCCCCAAGUUGAUGCGGGACCUUCUCUAUUUUUGUCUUACUUGAACUCCUACCAUCAUUCUCUAUGCCACAAAAAGUGCUAAGUCCAUUGCUCACACUCAGGUAUUAAGUGAAGUUGAAAGUGUUGAAGCGCGUGAAAAAGUAUGAUACAAUUGCUUGGUUUGGUACCAGGGUACUCUUAAUUUGAUACAUUUAUGUAGGGAAGACUAAGCGUGUCAUGCUUACCAGAUCUAAGUGUAUAGAGGUUGUUUCCCUUAGCUCUGUUAUUAUGAAAGGCAAUGAUGAAUUACAUGCAUGUUUUGUAUUAUUGUUUCAACAUCAAAUUGAUACACGAUUGCCUUCACCCGCAAAAAAGAUAGAAAAUUGCCUCGAAUUACUCGUAUCCUAAUAUUCAUGUCAUAAUUAGAUUAUAUGAUCAAGAUUAUGUUUUGUAGCAUUCCACAUCAAAAAUUAUGUUUUUAUCAUUUACCUACUCGAGGACGAACAUGAAUUAAGCUUGGGGAUACUGAUACAUCUUUGUCAUAUCUAUAAUUUUUGAUUGUUUCGUGCCAAUAUUAUACAAUGUUAUAUACUUUUGGCAACAAUUUAUAUUAUUUUUUUGGACUAACAUAUUGAUCCAAUGCCUAGUGUCAGUUCCUAUUUUUUGCAUGUUUUUUGUUUCCGAAAAAUCCAUAUCAAACGAAGUCCAAACGCGAUAAAAUUUUACGGAGAUUUUUAUUGUAAUAUUUGUAAAUUUUGGGCACAAGAAUCAAUGCAAACGGAAUCCCACAGCCUCCACAAAGCAAUAGGGUGCCACCACCCCCCACCGCGUGGGGUAAUGCCUUGUGGACUACUCGUAAGUUGGUUGGAGCCCUUCUUCGGCCGGAAGGAAUCUUAUAUCAGUAAAAAAUAGUGUUAAUUUUUUAGCCCAAUAGAAGUUAUGGAUCUCCGGGAAUAUAAGAAACGGUUGCCAAAAAUAGAGAUGUGAAAUAGAAGAGAAACACACACACACACACACACACACACACACACAGAGAGAGAGAGACAGAGAGACAGAGAGAGAGAUAGAGAGAGAGAGAUAGAGAUAGAGAGAGAGAGGCUCCUGCCCUCUGGGAACCAUGGCGGCCAAGUUAUGGAUCUCCUUCUCUAUUUUUUAUUGUUCCAUGCUAUUAUAUUAUCUGUUUUGGAUGUUUUAUAUGCAUUAUUAUGCUAUUUUAUAUUAUUUUUGGAACUAACUUAUUAACCUAGAGCCUAGUGCCAGUUUCUGUUUUAUCCUUGUUUUUAAGUUCCGCAGAAAAGGAAUAUCAAACGGAGUCCAAACGGAAUAAAACUUUGUGAUGAUUUUUCUUGGACCAGAAGACACCCAGGGGACUAGGAGUCCAAGUCAGAAGAGCCGCGAGGCGGUGGCAAGGGUGGAGGGCGCGCCCCUACCUUGUGGGCCCCUCAGAACUCUCCCUACCUAGCUCUUCGUCCUAUAUAUUCACAUAUAUAUUCCAAAACCCUUCAGGGGAGCCACGAAACCACUUUUCCACCGCUGCAACCUUCUGUACCCGUGAGAUCACAUCUUGGGGCCUUUUCCGGCCAUCUGCCGGAGGGGGAUUCGAUCACGGAGGGCUUCUACAUCAACCCUAUUGCCCUUCCGAUGAAGCGUGAGUAGUUUACCUCAGACCUAUGGAUCCAUAGCUAGUAGCUAGAUGGCUUCUUCUCUCUCUCUUUGAUUCUCAAUAUGACGUUCUCCUUGAUGUUCUUGGAAAUCUAUCCGAUGUAAUCUUCUUUUGCGGUGUGUUUGUCGAGAUCCGAUGAAUUGUGGAUUUAUGAUCAUAUUACCUAUGAAUAUUAUUUGAAUCUUCUCUGAAUUCUUAUAUGCAUAAUUUUAUAUCUUUGUAUUUCUCUUUGAAUAAUCGGUAUGGUUUGGCCAACUAGAUUGGUUUUUCUUGCAAUGGGAGAGGUGCUUAGUUUUGGGUUCAAUCUUGCGGUGUCCUCACCCAGUGACAAAGUAGGGGAAGCGAGGCACGUAUUUUAUUGUUGCCAUCAAGGAUAAAAAGAUGGGGUUUUCUUCAUAUUGCUUGAGUUUAUCCCUCUACAUCAUGUCAUCUUACUUAAUGUGUUACUCUGUUCUCUUGAACUUAAUACUCUAGAUGCAAGUAGGAGUUGGUCGAUGUGUGGAGUAAUAGUAGUGGAUACAGACAUGAGUCGGUUUACUUGACAUGUAUGUGAUGCCUAUAUGCAUAAUCAUUGCCUUGGAUAUCAUCAUUGCGCAUUUUCUAUCAAUUGCUCGACAGUAAUUUGUUCACCCACCAUAUUAUUUGCCUUUAUGAGAGAAGCCUAUAGUGAAACCUAUGGCCCCCAGGUCUAUUUUCCAUCAUAUUUGUUUCCGAUCUACUAUUUUGCAAUCUUUAAUUUUCAGAUCUAUAAACCAAAAAAACAAAAAAAAUUAUCUUUUGUUUAGUCUUAUCUAUCUCUAUCAGAUCUCACCUUUGCAAGUGACCGUGAAGGGAUUCACAACCCCUUUAUCGUGUUGGGUGCAACUGUUUGAUUGUUUGUGCAGGUGCAUAGAUUGGGGACUUUCUUGCACCUCCUACUGGAUUGAUACCUUGGUUCUCUAACUGAGGGAAAUACUUAUCUCUACCUUGCUGCAUCGCCCUUUCCUCUUCAAGGGAAAAACCAAUGCAAGCUCAAGAAGUAGCAGGAAUAAUUUCUAGCGUCGUUGCCGGUGAGGUCUACAUCAAGCCUACCAAGUACCCAUCAUAAACUCUCAUCUCUUGCAUUACAUUAUUUGCCAUUUGCUUCUCGUUUUCCUCUCCCCCGGUUGUAAAAAGAUUUUCCAAAAAACACAAAAAGAUUUGCCUAAUUAUUCGCCUUCUUUCCACGUGCCUUUUCGCUCGUUUGCUAUAUUUGCUUGUGUUGCCAUGUGCCUUCUAUUUGCUUGCAUCUUUGCUUGCUAAAAAUCUAUUGAUAUGGAUCCACUUAAAGUUUUCUACUUGGAUCAUCUUCAAUCCAUAUGUGCUCGUGCUAAAACUCCAACUAGUUUAGUUGGGGGGAAAUCUUUAGAUGAGCAUGCUCAUUUUGUGCGUCACCAUUUUUCUGAAAAAGGGAGACUCUUAUGGAAUCAAAUAAAUUGUUUGCUAUGUUAUGCUUGGAAUCUUUGUGAACUUUGUGAUUUUACUUGUUGCUCUAAGAACCCUAAAAACACCUUCCCGACCUAUGUGAGUUUAAUGAUAAUGAAAUUUUAUCUUCUUAUGAAAAGGGUGUUUAUAGUUACGAUAUCGAACAAAUUGAAGAAUUUGUUGCUUUUAAGGGUGCUUAUGAAGUUUCUUCUUUGAUUGAAAAGUAUGAUAUUACUCUCUACAAAUCUGAAAAUUUUGACAUACUUAAAUAUUGCUAUGAAAACUAUGCUCGCAACGCCUAUGUCAAAGAAUUUAUUGAGAGAGUAACCGUUGAUUUGGAAGAAAAUAAUGAUAUGCAUGAAUCUAUAUAUAAUUAUGAUUCCGGUGAUUUGAUUGAGAUACCCUCCCUUGAUGAGUGUGAUGCUUUCUAUUCUUGUGGCCAUGAUUCCAAUAUUUAUGGAGAUGAAUUUGCUAUAGUCCCUUAUGUUAAACAUGAGAUUGUUGCUAUUGCACCCAUACUUGAUAGUUCCUUGAAUCAAAAGCAUGAUUGCAAUGAUGUUAAUAUAAAUUAUAUUAAUGUCAAUUGUGCUAAUAAUAUGCAAAACCCCAAGCUUGGGGAUGCUAGUUUUGCUAUGUCCACUACUUAUUGCAAUGGUCAUGAUUGGGGUGAUAAUGCUUCUUAUGAUCUUGAAAAUUUAUUUAAGCCUCAUGAUAAUAUGGUUGCCAUAAUGUUGAAAGUGGGUUUGGAAGAGUUUCAACUUCAGGAAAUAAUGAUCCCACUACUUUGGAGUAUAAUCGAUCUUAUGAGUUUUUUGAUAAAAGUGGGCUUGGAGAGGUCAUGACUUUAUUUGAUGAUAAUCCCACUAUUUUGGAAGAGUGUCAAGUUUGCAUGCAUGUGGAUCAUGAAGAGAAUAUUUUAUGUGAUAGUUAUAUUGUUGAAUUUGAAUAUGGUCCCACAUGUAAUUUUUAUGAGAGAGGAAAAUAUGGUUGUAGAAAUUUUCAUGUUACAAAACUACCUCUCGUUAUGUUGAGAUUGCUAUUGUUUCUUUUCUUCUUCCUUGCAUAUGGUAGUUUUUGCUUGUCUUGAUAAUUUGUUUGCUUAUAAAAUGCCUAUGCAUAGGAAGUAUGUUAGACUUAGAUGUGUUUUUCACAUGCUACAUGAUGCUCUCUUCGUGUUUCAAUUUCUAUCUUUCAUGUGAGCAUCAUCAAAAUUAUCAAUGCCUAGCUAGGGGCGUUAAACAAUAGCGCUUGUUGGGAGGCAACCCAAUUUAUCUUUAUUUUUGCUUUUUUUGGUUCUGUUUUUUAAAUAAAGUUUUCAUCUUGCCUCGAUGUGUUUUUAUGUUUUAAUUAGUGUUUGUGCCAAGUAAGACCUUUGGGAUGGCUUACGGUGAUAGUUGAUUUGAUCUUGCUGAAAAACAGAAACUUUUGUGCCUAGUAAAAUAAUUUUCACUUUUAACAGAAGCGUGAUAAAAUACUGAUUCUUUCUUCAGAAGAUUAAUAUACAAAUUUCCUAUGUUUUCCUAAAUUUUCAGAAUUUUUGGAGGUACAGAAGUACUCGAGAUUUACAUAUUGCUAUAGACUAUUCUGGUUUUGACAGUUUCUGUUUUCUAUGUGUUGUUUGCUUAUUUUGAUGAAUCUAUGUGUAGUAUUGGGGGUAUGAACCAUGGAAAAGUUGGAAUACAAUAGAUAUUACACCAAUAUAAAUAAAGAAUGAGUUCACAAUAGUACCAAAAGAGGUGAUUUAUUUUCUUAUACUAACGAAUCUCAUGAGUUUUCUGUUGAGUUUUGUGUUGUGAAGUUUUCAAGUUUUGCGUAAAGAUUUGAUCGACUAUGGAAUAAGGAGUGGCAAGAGCCUGAGAUUGGGCAUGGCCAAGGCACCCCAAGAUAAAAUUCAAGGACAACCAAGAGCCCAAUCUUGGGGAUGCCCCGGAAGGCAUCCCCUCUUUCGUCUUCGUCUAUCGGUAAAUUUAUUUGAGGCUAUAUUUUUAUUCACCACAUGAUAUGUGUUUUGCUUGGAGCGUAUUGUAUGAUAUGAGUCUUUUCUUUUUAAUUUUCCUCAAUUAUCCUUGCUGUACACAGGUUUUGAGAGGGACACGCAUGAAUCGUGAUUUAUUAGAAUACUCUAUGUGCUUCACUUAUAUCUUUUGAGCUAGGCAAUUUUGCUCUAGUGCUUCACUUAUAUUUUUUGAGAGCACGACGGUGGUUUUAUUUUAUAGAAAUUUUCAAGAUCUCUUGCUUCACUUAUAUUAUUUUGAGAGUCUCUCUAAACAACAUGGUAAUUUUUUAGGUUAUCAAUUUAGUCCUAAUAUGAUGGGCAUCCAAGAGGGAUGUAAUAAAAACUUUCAUAAAAAGUGCGUUGAAUACUACGUGAAGUUUGAUUCCUUAUGAUUAUUUUGAGAUAUAAAGAUGGUGAUAUUAGAGUCAUGCUAGUGAGUAAUUGUGGAUUGGUAGAAAUACUUGUAUUAAAGUUUGUGAUUCCCGUAGCAUGCGCGUAUGGUGAACCUUUAUGUGAUGAAGUCGGGGCAUGAUUUAUUUAUUGAUUGUCUUCCUUAUGAGUGGCGGUUAGGGACGAGCGAUGGUCUUUUCCUACCAAUAUACACCCUAGGAGCAUGCGUCUAUUACUUCGUUUCGACAACUAAUAAUUUUUUGCAAUAAGUAUGUGAGUUCUUUAUGACUAAUGUUGAGUCCAUGGAUUUUACGCACUCUCACCCAUCCACCAUUGCUAGCCUCUCUAGUACCGCGCAACUUUCACCGAUGCAUUAAACCCACCAUUUACCUUCCUCAAAACAGUCACCAUACCUACCUAUUAUGGCAUUUCCAUAGCCAUUCCGAGAUACAUUGGCAUGCAACUUUCCACCGUUCCGUUUGACGGUGUCCUGGACUAGAGGGUACUCACCACGUCGUCUCCCGACCAGCUGGAUCGGGCCGAGGACCCCCAUGGCGGUUCACUUAUAGGCCACUUCGGGCAGCCCAUGCCGCAUACAAGAAGGAUUCCACAAGACUUGGCACCCAAGACAAGGACUCCUCUGAACCCUAGGCCUCUGGUGUGUUAUAUAAACCGAGGCCAGGCUAGUAAAUAGAACAUCUCAUUCAUUACUACAAUCUUAUGCUAGAUACAUGUACUAUGUACUAUCCUCAUAUGAAUACAAUCAAAAGCAGGACAUAGGGUUUUACCUCCAUCAAGAGGGCCCGAACCUGGGUAAAAUUCUGUGUCCAUGUUACCAUUGCUCCAAGACGCCUAGCUUAGGACCCCUACUACAAGAUAUGCCGGGUAUAGAACCGACAUUGGUGCUUUCAAUGAGAGCCUGCCGGCAGCCGCCACGGUGCGAUGGGAAUUCAAACCAUCUCCGGCGCGAUCUACGCAUCGGAGCCGAGCUUUAUGGUCGAUAUCGGCAUCUUUGUUGCCAGCUCGGCUGGUCACCUUGGCUGGAUCGAGGACCAUGCUCCAUGUCAGAUCAAAAAGAUCAGACAGAUAAUUUCAUUAUCAUCAGCUCAAAUUUCAACCGAGACCAUGGAAAAGUCAUCCAUGGAGCCUGGGGGCUCAUCAUGAACAUUGCUCUCGUGCGAUCACACAGUUUUUUCUGUACAUCAGACUUGUUUUCGCUGCUACCAUCUCUUCGGGAGUCGAUUUGACGAAUCCUUUGGUUAAAUUGUGCGGAAUUGAGUAUACAACGACCCUGUAAAAAUUUGUCGCCUUCCAAUGUAGGAAUCUCCGGUGAUCUAUGAUAUACCGGAGGCCUGUUGAGUCUGUAUGGGAAUCUGGGCGAGUUUAAGGUGUGGUCUCGAGAUCCUAGCUCGGAGGUUAUUUGGAAUAUCCAACCAUUUAUCUUCUGCAGAAUUUCCAUAUCUACCACCUCCCAAAAUUUCAGCUCGAUCCGACCGUUCCAACUUUGGGAACCUUCCGAUUAGUGCAUCACUUUUCAGAUGUGUUUUUUGCGCGAAUACGAAUCCGACCUGAGUUCAUCUUUUUUCAUGAAUGAGAUAUUGGACAACCUUUUUGGAAGAAUCUGUUUCUAGGGUAUUGUGUUUUGUUUUCGAACACAUGCUCACAAAUUUUGCUCCUUUUCGGAAGUAAUCUUCACUGUCGUGCUGGUGACAAACCAGCCCUUGCUCCACGUCUGCCGACCUGCGCUAGACAUAUCGUCAUUUCAUCGAGCCGAGCCUAACCUUAUCGGAUUAUUUGCUUGGCAAGCCGAACAAGAGUUCGGCAUCACGAAGGCUAAAUCAUCACCAACACCAUCACCCCAUGGAUCGCACGGGUCAAGCGCAUCAACAUCACCGCUCGGUCACUUCAUCAAUCUGGCAUUGACCGCGUCACAAGUUAUGACCAGCGUCAGCAUGGCCGAGCCGUAGCUUCUUCAAACCGAUGUCUGCCACGCCGAACCGCUUCAACACCUCGGCUGGCACGACGGCUGCAACAUCACCUUACCAACCUGCUCCGUCACCUCGGUUGGACCGAGAGCUUCGCCAUCUCUUCAUCAACCUACUCCGGAGACUUCGGUGUCACCAGCCGACCAGCUUCGUCAUGUUAGCUGGACCGGGGGCUUUGCUUCGCCAUGUCUCGGCCGAGCACGCGCACACAACAUCAAGCUUAUGUUGGCACUAGUACUAUUACUAGAUGCAAAUCCAUGAAUGCCCGCAUGUGUCUCUUUGGAUUGCUACAACAAAUAAACCAGGUGUCGGUGUCAAAACCGACAGAUCUCGGGGUAGGGGAUCCCGAGCUGUGGAUUCUCGGAUCAAUAGUAACAUGAACGAAGGAGACAAUGUUUUACCCAGGUUCAGGCCCUCUUGAUGGAGGUAAAACCCUACGUCCUGCUCUUGUUUAUAUUUAUGGUGUAUCAAGUAUAGAGUUGAUCUACCUCAAGAUCAUAUGUUGUGGUCUAAAACCUGAGGGUAUGAUGAAUAAUGUCGUAAUCUAUCGACUAGCCUGGCCCUGGCUUAUAUAAUGUACCAGAGGCCUAUGAUAACAAGAGUCCUAGUCGAAUAUGUUGGUGGAGAGGAGUCCUUGUCUUGAUCACCAAGCCUUGUGGAAUCUUCCUCGUGUGCGGCAUGGGCUACCCAAAGUGGCCCAUGAGUGAACCGCCAUGGGGGUCCUCAGCCCGAUCCAGCUGGUCGGGAGCCGACGUGGUUAGUAUCCCCUAGUCCAGGACACCGUUAGUAGCCCCCUGAACCGGUCUUCAAGUUGGGGACUCUCCUCGAUUCUUCUGAACUGUUCUUCAUCUUCGUUCGCCUGUCUUGAAAAUGGGUUCAACAAUUUUUCUUAUCUUCGAUCUUGAGGAUCGCCGAAGUAAAUCCGAAGAGUUUACACGUCAGGUAUCCGAGGAGCCCCUUUAUGUUAUCGACCUUUAUCAAUGCCUUGUUAUUUUUACGCCCACCUCAUAUUUGAAGUGUUUCCUGUGCGGUGGUAUCCUCUCGCGUUCGAGCUCUAACAUCGGACUAUAUCCGAGCUCCAUCGUCGGACUAUAUCAGAGGUGUCUUUUUGCAGCCAAGCUCCAACACCGGACUAUAUCUGAGCUUCAAUGCCAGAAUGUAUCCGAGCUCCAAUGCCGGAAAAUAUCUGAGGUGUCAUAGAUCACCUCGUCUCGAAAAAAACUGAAGGAGUUUAACCAAGCUUUAAUGUAGUAAAUGCCCUUUAUGAAGCCAACCAUUUGUAUCCGAGCUUUAUGCCGGACUACAUCCGAGGUGGUGCACUACGUCGGCCGUGGGCUGAUUGUUUCCAUAUUGAAUUCCAAUUUGUGCAAUGUAUUCUCUACCGAGAUAUAUAGCCAGUAGCCCUCAAGGUGCACGUUGGCCUAAUAUCCGGUAUGCACCUGAAGGAUAAAAUCAAACCGCUAACCCUAGUAGCCCCUGAGACUCAGGUCGAUUCGUAAACUCAGCCUGAGGAUCAAUUCCCAGCUCGGCGGCAUACUUAGGAAUAGAAACACGGUGUAAUAUAUUAGAGAAAUAGUGAUGAGCGAACGGGCCCUUGAGAGAGGGUCUUGAUAAGUUGUCGUAAAUCAUAAUAUAUUAGCUUGAUGCCGCAUAGGUCCAGAUGGUACCUAUUGUUGUCCGAAGACGCAUUUGCCCAUAGUUCGGUCAAGCCAAACACUAAGCACUUUGAAUUUUCUGCAUUGAAUAGGCAAUGCAGUAGCCCCCAAGACACUGGUAGGGUGGCAACACCAGAUCAAGGGAUCGAUGUGCCCCUUUAAUAUUUGUAAAUAAUAAGCGCGAAGCCCAGUGCCCCAAGCCUUAAUGUGGGCAUGGGUGGCCGAAUUAGGAUCGAUAUCCGUUUGACAAAAAAAUUUGUUGUGUUUAACGCAAACUUCUUCGAAAGAGAUUAAAGAUCUCAUAAAGGAGUUAGAGCUAACGAAAGCCGAGCUCUCCAAGUUUGGCCUUAAGGGGCUUAAUAGAUAGGAAAUCAAUGCUAAUAGGGAACUAUGAGAGCGUUAUGUCAGCUGCUCGGUUGUCUCAAAGAGACUGUGCCAUUGACUCUUUAAAAGAUUGGCUACUGAAAAAUUGAUUUUUGCUCACAAUUUAUGUGUAAUAAUUCUAUGUACCCAAGUACUUUACAUCAUUAAUGCUCGGAUCCACAUUGUACAAAACUUUGUUGACCGACCAUCGGCUUCAACUUCCUCGGCCAAUAGCCAGGGAGUGUUUGUCCCACUUUGUAAAGACUUUAUGAGAGCAAAGAUUUGUGGCAAACGAGGCAAUCUGGCCAUACGGUUUUAUAAACAAAGGUAUGCAGAGAGAUAUGUUAUAUGAAGAAACAUCUUCCAAAGAAAAUAGUUCCGCUAUCGGUUCCUUUCUUUGGGUUCUCUUGCUGAUCAUGAUCAUGAAACCUCAUCUCCGAUCAAUGUGGGAGGAAAAUACUAAGGAUUUAGUUCGGGGAAAGUUCCCGAACUCUAUGGUCCGAAUGGACCAAAAUUUUCACUUCCGUCGUUGCCGACCAAUUAUAUCCUUUAAGAUCGCUAGCUUUCGGCUUCACCUAGUCUGAGGUACUAACUCGGAUGACCCGGUAGUAACAAUCAUAGAGGUGCUCCCUUUACUGCCUAGCCGAACAAUCGGGAAUGUAGGGGUAAGCACAGGAGCCACGCAACCCAGCUUGGCCAAAAUCUUAAGUCAAAUUGAUGCAUAUUUAUGGCUUUAUAACGAUGAUUAUGGAAGGCAGCCCUCGUAUAUUAAAUACAAAUGCCGAUGAUAUGUUUAUUUUGACUCUGUUGCGACCGUUUAUUAGUUGAAAGUGGCCCAUCGUCAGCUUCCACCCCUUUGUAGAUACCACGCAGGGUGUUUCCGCAGUAACAAGACAACCCUUAGCCGACGUCUCGGUUCUCGGAGGCGGUUGUGUUAGCGGAAACAAGGCAAUCGGAUACGCGGGCUUUAUAACUUUCACUUAGUCAUAGGAGCUUUAAACUGGGGAAGCUAGCUACGAGCCCGUGGUUAGUGUUUGGCACCGACCGAAGUCUAGCCAUUAACAGUCCGGCCAAUGUUAUGAAUGGCCCAUAGUUUAACACAGUCAUCGGAUCGCUGGGCAGUUUAUGCUUAUUGUGACUGUUAGUUCUCGGCUUUCUCCACUGAGGCGCUUAACCAUGCGAGCUGAAAGCACAAUCGCAGUUGUCCUCCCUUUGCACACCUAGCCGAACAAAGCGGAACGAAGGAGGCAAGCACAGGAGCCGGGCAACCCAACUAUUGACCAAAGACACAAUUCGAAACCGAUGCAUAUAAAGCAAUACCCAAGAAUGUUUUGCCGAAUCUCUAAAGGUGUCCGGCGUUGCACUGCGAGACUUAUGCUGGAACCACACAAAUAGUUUAAAAGUGCCACAGGCUUAAAAACCAAAAAACCUCAGUAAAAACUGUACACCCUAACUAAAUCAAGUUUUUGGUGCCAAUCUGAAAAUUGGUCUUAAAAAAAUUGUGCUACUGUCAUGCUUUAACAUGACACACCUGAUCUCAAGACUUUAAGCAGGUCAGCAUAUGGCUUCAACUUCCUAUCCCGAAGGCGGAGUACUUCUCAUUAGGCCAAUUUAGUGAACUAAACUCGAGCGACUUUAAAAGAGAAACUAUGCUCCCCGGCUAUUGACCACACACUCGAGUCGAAAAAGGUGUGGUAGAAACAGACUUUGCAACGACCAAGAAGAAAACACACUGUUCGCACACGAACACGUCACCGUGUACCCUCGAAGCCGGGGGUGAUGCACCCCAGCUUGCGUCGAAGAAGAUCUGACCGGCAGCGCGAUACGCAGGACAGCCGGCAGAUGCUUUUGUAGACCCGAAGCCCCGCUUGCCCGGGAGGGACCCCGUCAGGGCUCGCGGUGGCUAUGGGCUGCUCCAGGUCGAUUCACUCGCCCCUAGAGCCUCGUGGAUCCGCAGCCCUCCAGCAUGAAGAACUAGUGAAGAACGAGAAGAAAGAUACAAAUGAGAGAUAAAAAGUAGAUGAACACGAAAAAGUAGUAGAUGUGUUUGUUCAAUUGGUGUUGUUUCAAUCGGCCGUUGCCCGAACAUAUAUAGGAGGUGGCUGGACUUCCCGUAAAAGCAAAAUAUUCAUCUAGGAUUUCCUCACAAGAAAAUUACAUCAAUUCACGGCCAAAACCCUAGUCAAAUUCGGAUUGGUUUAUCCGAACUUUUCAAAACUGUUCGUUUAAACUAGCUGUACCUUGCGGGUAUUGUUUGUGGUGGCAAACGACCUCAGAUGGAAAUGAGUCCAAAAGCAAUCUUGACCGUUUCGACGAGACGAACAACUUUCAUGUUGAACGUUUUUACAUCAGAGGUCAUUUCGAAGGUCAAAUCGCUCGUUCAAGACAGCUAAUUAUUCACGCAGCACAUCAGACAUACCCACAUAUGUGUCUGGUUCCGGGCGUCAUAUUUUUGCUUGGAGGGUCGUGCUGUGCGGGAUCUAACUUUUGCAUAUGACCUCGUAUUGAGACGAUCUUUAUAUCACAAUCGAUCGUUUCAACUAGACGAAGACAAUUCAUGUAGAUCAUUUUUCAAUAUGGGGCAGUCUUGGGGGUGUAAUCAGCCGAAAAGUCUUCUGGAUACAAAAUCUCAAUACUUCGAACACAACUUCGGCCUUAGAGAUGAGAUCGGAUGGAUAUGGCCCAAAUAUCAAAGUUUAUCCUUUUGAUGAUACGAAACUUUCUCACUUUGAGAACUUUUUCAUUUGAGGCCAUAUUUAUUAAGUUCUCGGCCGUGUCAAGAUCUGGUGUCAACACAUGCCCCCCUGUUUUUUGGCAAACUUGUGUGCCGAAACAUAACUUGCACGAUGAUUUUUCUAAGGACGAUGUCAACACUCCAUCGGCCAUUUUGCAUGUUCUUAGGACGAUAAGUAUAUAUCGGCCAUUGCUUGUUUGAACCUCUUGAGGCAAACUUGGGUGAAAACUUCUCAGCUUCUAUAACAAUCCGGUGAUAAGGUUCCAUAGACCAAAACCAUCCUCCAAACCAUAUUGUUCUCCCUUUCGCUAGGAUUUUGCAGAUAAUCAAGAAUGAACUUCCUCCAAUCCUUACUUCACCUGCAUAAAAGUUUCAUUAGUGGUCGAAGCGGUGGGCUUCGGUUCGGCCUUACCUAUAUUGACAAGACCUAUCAUCGGCUAUUGAUAGAAAUGUAAUACACCAUGGUUAACAUAGUAGCCGGAUGCUUGCUGUGCCAACUCUUUCGAAUUGUCAUGUCUAGAUAUAUGAACAAUUUUAAAGCAACCCAAGGUAAAUCUUGCAUCUAGACAUACCAAAAGAUAAACUAUAAGUAAUUCGUCAAAACAUUGAUAACCCUUGGAUAUUUGUUGCACUACUAAUAACGAAUAACCGGAAGCCUCAAUAUGUAUAUCACCUAUAGCAAGGCAAAGCUCCAAUCCGAAUAACAAUGCAUAUUCGGCUUUGAUCAUUGUGCAAAAAUAUUUUAAGCGGCAUGAGGCUUCACAAAAUAGCUUCAUAUGGAGAUAAAUAAACAACACCAACGCCUUGGCCAUUGUUACAAAUUUAACCAUCAAUAUAUAAUCUCCAUGGUACUAGAGAGAUCAAGCUAAAAACAAUAUUAUGCAUGAUGUCAAUAUGAUGCUCAAUAAAAAAAUCAACCAUGAUUUGGCCUUACGUAAAUUCUGAAAACUAAUAAGCCAAAGCACACCCAAUCAAAACAUAAGUUCACUUUGAAAUUUUGAUGAAUUGGUCUAUGCAUAAUAUCUUCAAUGGCAUCAAUUUGACAAAUUCCUUUGCAAGGACUUAUCUCAAUCUCUACUCAAACUAAGGACGAUGUUAGAAUACCACACCGGCCAUUCUUAGAUAUUCUUAGGGCGAUAUAUAAGUAUCGGCCAUUCCCAUGAGGUCCAUGUAGAAUUCACCCACCAAAGUAUGUAUAGCCGAAAUAAAACAAUGAAAUAGCAAUAAAACAUUUCAUCCCUUUUGUAUUAGCAACAAAAACGUAACUAACCAAAUGUAUAGUGAUUUGGUAAUACCCUGUCAUGAUAUAGAAAAUUAUGUUGCAUCCAUGGAACAAAAUAAAUCCAUGGAGGGUAAUUGAUCAUACCUAUGGAUGAAUUCCAUGGCAAAGGCAUCAAUGGCAUGGUUGAAGAAAAUGAAUGAUGUGCUAACCGAAGAUUUUGAUGUUGUGAUGCACACCUUCGGCUUAAUUGUUUGUUGCUUCCAUUCUUCUCUUUCUUCACUUUUAUUGUACUUAUUGCAAUAGAAGCAUGCACAUCCUUUUUUUUAUGAUUGAUCCUCUUGGGAACCCAUGCCAUGUUCUCCUGUCUCAGCUCUUGUGCACUAAGAUUUUGUAAUUCCCUCUUUUGCCAAUACGAUAAACCGAGUGGGCAUCUUGGCUGUGAUUCUAUUUUGACCUUGUGCACUCUCAACUUCUUUUCUUCAGAUUUGGCACUUUGACUCUCAAUAAUUGGUUGCUUCGUCUCAUUGCCCUUAGUAGCCAAUGUCAACACUUUAAUUGGCUCUUUUUCAUUUGAGAUCAAAUCUGAAGUUGCACUCUUACGACCAUCUCUUCUAACAUGGUAAACUUGCUUGACCACCUCUUUCUUCUUCUUUGAGCUCUGGACCGAUUCCUUAUGAUUGAAAUGGUCUUUAACAUGUGAUUGUUCAAAUGUUGAUCUUUUCGGAGCUGCAUAAUAUUGAUGAGAUGGUCUAAAUUAAGAUGGAGAAUGUGCCCUUGUAUCAUACCUGUCCUGUGAUGGAUAUGAAUCUACACGAGCAUAGGGACAAAUCCAGGACAUUGGCAUUGGCGGCCCAAAAUAAGGAUAUGAAUAUGUUGCAUGAAAAUUUUCACUUUUCCAAUACCGAUGCUCAUAUUUGCGCCUUGGGGGUGCUCUUGAUGCUUUUGCAUUAGUUGGCCGAUAAGCACUUUUCUCUUCACUCUUAUUUUGAUAUUUAUCUAAUAAUUGUGCAAAAGUGACCUUGGAUUUCUUGCACUUGUGCUUAUUGCUGCCUUUGUUUCCUUUGGUUGUGCUUGCACUGAUCUCUGGAUUUGCUUGCUGCCCCCAGUCCUUGGUGUCUCCAUUGUAGCUUCGAUAGAAUUUUCGCCCUCAAGAUUAUGUUCAUUAUGCUCUUCAACAACUUCUUUACUUGAAAGCUUAAUCCCAUCACCUGCAGUUUUUACCUUCUGUUUAAAUGGAUCAGCUUGAAGUAGCCGAUGCAAAAACUUUCUGUCAUCGGGACCAAUCGGAAUAGACUGGUGAUCUCUUGGUGUCUCAACAAAUUUCAAUCGUCCUUUAUCAAUGGCCGAUUUAACUAUUUGACGAAACAUGUUGCAAUCCUCAAAAUUAUGCUUGGAUGAAUCAUGAAACUUACAAUACAUUCGUCCUUGGACAGAUGGCUCAACAUGGUGAUCAAGAAUUCUAAUAUAAUUAUUUCUCAACAACAAAUUAAAUAUUUGAUCACACAUGCUUGAAUUGAAGGUAAAAUUUUUAUUCUCUAUCCGAUCUUGUUGUGAGAACGGCUUUGGAGUUAAGCAAACGAAUGGUUCAGAUUUUGCAUCACCCCAUUCGGCUAUGCAUUGUGUUUUGCACUCUAUCUCCGAUGUCUUUCGAUAAGAAACUAUACUAGCAUCGGUUCGCUCAGAGGAUUUUAACCUUGGCUUUAAAUUUCUGAAACGAAAAUAGUUAGAACAUACAUGUCUCAAUUGAGACCAAGUGUAAGCCAAGUAAGAAAUAAGCAAAGCUACCCAAUUAGAUAUGAACUUUAAAUAAAUCAAUGGGAAAAGCUUUGGCUGCAGUAAUAAGUCACAAUCAGUCUCUUUGAAUGGUACAAUAUAUUGACCGAUAUGCUUAGUAACAAUUUUAUUGCUAACAAGUAAAUUACCCUUCUUCAUUGGUCUUUGAAAAUUACUUAUUAGAAUUUUUCUAAUAGAUGCAUCAACAAUAAAGUUGUGACCAAAUCUGAAAAUAGGUAAAUUACUUGCUAGACAUACCUCUUCAAAUAUGUUGGGAGAGCAUGAUGAUUGCAUAUGAUGAAUAAUAUUGUGUUUUGCUUCUGGAUGACUUCCCAGCACCAAGUCACAAUUUUCUUCUUGAUUUCGUGCAUCAUAAAUUUGAAGAUCUUUGUCAACCAAACUUUGUUCGGCUACUUGCUCUUGUCCUUGAAGCUUGUCAAUUUCUAUGGCACGAAACUCAUAGGGCAGGAAGUAGGUUCCAUUAACUUCAGAAAAAUCAAACAUGGUUGUUUUGCUAUGCUUGCCAUGCCCUUUCUCAAUAAUGCUUGCCUCUUUGGAUUUGAUGGAUUCGGAAUAUAUACUACUUGAUUCGGCUUUUUCAACUGAAGCACUUUUAGUUUCCGAAUCAUCAUUCUUUUUGCCGGUUAUAUCAAUUGGCAAGGCUUCUUUUCUUUGAGCCAAUUCCCUAUCAAUUCUCUCUUGGCGAAGUACCUGCACCCUAUUGCGCAAAGCUUUAACUCCCCUCUCAAUUCUAGCCUACUCUAGAUUAGUUUGCCUCCCAAUGCUUUUAGAAUCUUUCGGCAAUGAAGUGUCAGUGUUGCCGAAAUUUUGCAAUUGUGUAGGGGGUGUAUAAUAUGCUGCGGUACUAGGUGGAGGUGUAUGCACUGCUAUAUAACCAUAUGCUCUUUCGCCAAUUCUAUCAAUGCAUGUAGUUUCAUCUUCUUGCAAAACUCUAGCCUUUAUUGCAGCAUAAUCAGGAAACAACCCCUUUUCAUAUUGUUCAAGGCAAAGAGCACUAAUUUUCUUGUUUUGUGCCAAGCUCUUUUUAACGCAGCCACAAGCACUCCUGGAAGGGAUUGCUCCACAAUACUUUCAGAUUCUUUCGGCAAUGAUUCAUGAGUGUUGCCGAAAUUCUCGAAUUGCGUAGAGUAUGCAUUAUAUGCUAUAGUAUUUGAUGACGGCACAUGUGUUCCUGUAAAUUUUUUACUUAUUCGGCUAUGACCAUGAAGAUGCGGGGCCGAAUUAUGAACAUCUACAGUUGCAUACGGUGCUGAAAAAUUACUAAAAUGAGGUGUAGCAUAUGAUGGUUGAGAGUAACUAGCCGAAUAGCUAGUAGUAGCAUGGACAAUUCUUCCAUCCAUCAACAAGGUUGGAUUCACAUACUGCAAAUUAGUUGCCAAUGAAUAAAAAGGUGAAACACUUUCUUCUAUGCUAUUGGAAAUUUUAACAUGAGGUGUUUCAAACUGAUUAACCGAACCCAUCAUGUUGUUCAUCGACAUAUGGAUUUGUGGGGUUGCCGAUGCAUGAGAGUUAGGAUACAUAUGUUGUAUGUUACUAGUAUCAUAAGAAGUUGAAACAUGUAAAUUACUUUGAAUCGGUCUAUGUACGUAAUUAGAUGCCUUAUUGAAAAACUAGGGCUGGUCGAUAGAGUAUAAUCAUUGAACGAUCUAGUAACAUCAUAUGAAUUAUUUGCAUCUACAGUAGGGAAUUGGGUAUUCAUAUUAAAUUUGUAAAUUGCAAACCCUAGAUGACGAUCUCUUCGUAGCAAGAACGGACCGGAGACCGUUCAAAGCUUCGUCCCCAGCGGAGUCGCCAAAAAGUGUGUUCGCACACGAACACGUCACCGUAUAACCUCGACGCCGGGGGUGAUGCACGCAGCUCGUGUCAAAGGAGAUCUGACCGGCAGCGUGAUACACAGGACAUCCGACAGAUGCUUUUGUAGACCCGAAGCCCCGCUUGCCCGGGAGGGACCCCGUCAGGGCUCGCGGCGGUUAUGGGCUGCUUCAGGUCGAUUCACUCGCCCCUAGAGCCUCGUGGAUCCGCAGCCCUCCAGCAUGAAGAACUAGCGAAGAACGAGAAGAAAGAUACAAAGGAGAGAUAAAAAGUAGAUGAACACGAAAAAGUAGUAGAUGUGUUUGUUCGAUUGGUGUUGUUUCAAUCGGCCUCACCCCAACAUAUAUAAGAGGCGGCUGGACUUCCCGUACAAGCAAAAGAUUCAUUUAGGCUUUCCUUACAAGAAAAUUACAUCAAUUCACGUCCAAAACCCUAGUCAAAUUCGGAUUGGUUUAUCCGAACUUCUCAAAACUGUUCGGUUUAAACUAGCUGUACCUUGCAGGUCUUUUUUGUGGUGGCAAACGACCUCGGAUGGAAAUGAGUCCAAAAGUAAUCUUGACCGUUUCGACGAGACGAACAACUCUCAUGUUGAACGUUUUUUCAUCAGAGGUCACGUCAAGGGUCAAAUCACUCGUGCAAGACAGAUAAUUAUUCACGUAGCACAUCAGACAUACCCACAUAUGUGUCUGGUUUCGGGCGUCAUAUUUUUGCUCACUGGAGGGUCGCGCUGUGCGGGCUCUAACUUUUGCAUAUGACCUAGGAUUGAGAUGAUCUUUAUAUCAAAAUCGAUUGUUUCGACGAUACGAAGACAAUUCAUGUAGAUCAGUUUUCAAUAUGGGGGAAGUCUUGGGGGUGUAAUCAGCCGAAAAGUGUUCUGGAUACAAAAUCUCAGUACUUCGAACACAACUUCGGCCUUAGAGAUGAUAUCGGAUGGCUAUGACCCAAAUACCAAAGUUUAUCCUUUUGAUGAUACGAAACUUUCUCACUUUGAGAACGUUUUCAUUUGAGGCCAUAUUUAUUAAGUUCUCGGCCGUGUCAAAAUCUGGUGUCAACACACACUUGUUAUAAAAUGACUCAUAUAAAUUUAAGAGCCCCCAUUUAACAUGGGUAAAGGGAGUUUCUUUUAACAAACAACUCACGUGAGCAUGGUCGAACCGAACACAAAUUAAAAAUUUAAAAACUUCGAGCUUGAAAGUGACUUAGCUGAUUAAUGUGUUCGGCGUUGAUGACGCGGGUCGAGCUUGCAGCGGGUCGAGGUCCCAGUCCCCAAGUCGGUCCCGAGGUGGCGGAGCGAAGAACUCGGCACUCCGAAGUGGCAACAUAGCGCAGCCAAUGUGGCAGGGUGGAACCCUCAGUCCGGCCGAGGCGACGGAGUAGGCCGACAGUAUGGUGCCGAGGUCCCCGGCGUGGGUUAAUAAAGUGAUGACGAAGCCCCCGGUCCAGCCAAGGUAAUGUGGUACAUCGGUACGCUGAGGUGACAGCGCUGCCCAACCCGAAUCAUUUACCUGUGCAGAGAAAAUAGUGCAAGCCGGAGAUAAUAGUAAUAAUAAUAAAUUAAAAAAUUCAUUAAAUGAUUAAUAGUUUAUGCAAAGUGAGUAAUAAAGAAGUAUGGCCCGUGUGCCGAACACUCGAUGAGGUAGAGCUCUCUUGGCGAUGCCGAAGUCCCCGAGGCAACCGAACCUGUCGGUAUGGCAAUUUGACCAACAAGGUGAUCACGCGAGCCGAUUUAUGCCUAUUGGGAUGAUGACGUCGGCCUGCCGAAGUGACCACAUGAUGCAGUCGAAGUCGAUUACCUACACAUGUAAAAUAGUGCAGUUAAAAUAAUAUAAAUAUAUAAAAAAACCUCGCGUAAUUAAUUUACGCAUUUUUUUAAAGAGAUGUGGCCUGGCGUCGAAGCCAAUGUCAGUGCGAGGCGCCGGCAUGACAAAGCAUGUAUUCAUAGGGCGGUCCGAGUCCCCAAUGAGGCGUUCGCCGAACUGCCGACGGGAAACUGACUGAACCAUCACGCAACCAUCGUUAAUGCGGCCAUCAUUUGACAGACCUGUUUACAGAUGAUGGAACAAACCAGAGUAAUAAUUCCUCAGGAAAAAUAAACCCAAGUAAAAAAUGUACUAGGAUUAAUAGCACCUGGUUUAUCUGUUGUAGCAAUCUAAAGAAAGGUUACUCCCAAAAUUGGGACUCGAUCCACACACCCAUUGCCUAAUGGGCGAUGAAGCGACGGCAUGGUGAUGCUGGCAAAGGAUAGCUUGUCGAGGCAAAGCCCCUGGUCCAGCUAAUGUGACAAAGAUGGUCGGCUGGUAACGCUGAAGUCUCUGGAGUAGAUUGAUGAAGAGAUGGAGAAGCCCCUCGUCCAGACAAGAUGACGGAGCGGGCCGGUAAGGUAAUGUUGCAACCACCGUGCUAGCCGAGGUGCUGAAGUGGUUCGACGUGGCAGGCAUCGGUUUGAAGAAGCUACAGCUCGGCCAGGCCGGCGCUGGUCAUAACUUGUGACAUGGUCAAUGCCGGAUUCAUGAAGUGACCGAGCGGCGAUGGUGUUGGUGAUAAUUUAGCCUUCACGACGCCGAACUCUUGUUUGGCCUGCCGAGUUGAUGAUCCGAUAAGGUUGGACUCGGGUUGAUGAAGUGAAGAUCUGUCUAGCGCAGGUCGGCAGACGUGGAGCAAGGACUGGUUCGACACCGGCGCGACGGUGAAGAUUACCUCCAAAAGGAGCAAAUUAUGUGAGCAUGUGUUCAGAAAGAAAACACAAUACCCUAGAAAGAUAAUCUUCCAAAAAAAGGUUGUCCAAUAUCCUGUUCAUGAAGAAAGAUGAACUCAAGUCGGAUUCGUAUUCGUGCAGAAAACAAAUUCAAAAAGUGAUGCACUAAUCGGAAGGUUCCCAGAGUUUGAACGGUCGGAUCGACCUGAAAUUUUGAGGAGUGGCAGAUAUGGAAAUUUCGCAGAAGAUGAACGGUUGAAUCCUCCAAAUAACUUCUGAGCUAGGCUCUGGAGACCACGCCCUAAACUCGUCUAGAUUCCCGUCUAGACUCGACAAACCUCCCGUAUAUCAUUGAUCGCCGAAGAUUCCUCCAUCAGAACGCGACGAAAUUUUACAGGGAUGUUGUACACUCAAUUCCGCACAAUUCCACCAAAGCAAUCAUCAAAAUGACGCUCAAGGAGGCGGUGGUAGCAGAUACAGGUUUGCUGUCCAGAAAAAUAGCACGAUCGCACGAGGACAAUGUUGACGUUGAGCCCCAGAGCUUAAUCGACGAUUCCUUCAUGAUCUUGAUAGAGAUCGGAGUUGAUGAUGACGAGGACAUAUGUCUGAUCUUGAUGAUCCAAAGAGGAGCCUGGUCCCUGGACCAGCCUAGGUGACCAGUCGAGCUGGCGAUGAAGACGCCGACGUCGCAGUUUGAUCUAUAGACCAGCCAUUGAUCCAUUGUCGAUCACAGAGUGGAACUCUCAAUGAAAGCACCAUUGUUAGCAUUAAAACCGGCAGAUCUCGAGGUAGGGGGUCCCGAGCUGUGGAUUCUCGAAUCAAUGGUAACAGGAACAAAGGAAACGAUGUUUUACCUAGGCUCUUGUUUAUAUUGAUAGUGUAUCAAGUACAGAGUUGAUCUACCUCAAGAUCAUAUUUUGUGAUCUAAAACCUGAGGGUAUGAUGAAUAAUGUCAUAAUAUAUUGACUAGCCUGGCCCUGGCUUAAUGUACCGGAGGCCUAGGAUAACAAGAGUCCUAGUCGAAUACGUUGGUGGAGAGGAGUCCUUGUCUUGAUCACCAAGCCUUGUGGAAGUUCCUUCGUGUGCGGCAUGGGCUACCUGAAGUGACCCAUGAAUGAACCGCCAUGGGGUCCUCGGCCCGAUCCAGCUGGCUGGGAGCCGACGUGAUUAGUACUCCCUAGUCCAGGACACCGUCACGAGGUGGUAUUAUUUCUACUAAUUUUUUGCUUGCAUGGGCUUAUUUUUUCUUGAGGAAUAUUACUCUGGUUUGUUCCACCCUCUGUACAGAGAGUCAAAUGCUGGCUGCAUUAACGAUGGUUGGGUGAUGGUUCGGUCAUUUUCCCAUCCUCAAUUCGGCGAACGCCACGUCGGGAACUAGGAUCACCCUGUGAAUUCAGGCUUUGCCACACCGAAUCCCCGCAUCGACAUUGGCUUCGACGCUAGGCCACAUCUCUUUAAAAAUUAAUUUGUGUAAAUUAAUUAUGCGAGGAUAUUAGAUAUAUUUAUAUUUUUUUGGACUGCACUAUUUUACACGUGUAGGUAAUCGACUUCGACUGCAUCACGUGGUCACUUCGGCAAGCCGUCGUUGUCGUCCCAAUUGGCAUAAAUCGGCUCACGUUAUCACCUUGUUGGUCGAAUUGCCAUACUGACAUGUUUGGUUACCUCUACCUCAUCGAGUGUUCGGCACACGGUCCAUAUUUCUUUUAUUAAUCGCUUUGCAUUAAUUAUUAAUUAUGCAAUGAUUUUUUAAUUUAUUAUUAUUCCUAUUAUCUUCGGCUUGCACCAUUUUCUGUGCACAGGUAAAUGACCCGGGUUGGGCAGCGAUGUCACCUCAGCGUACCGACGUACCACGCCACCUCGGCUGGACCGGUGGCUUCGUCAUCACUUCAUUAAACCACGGCGAGUACUUUGGCGUCAUACUGCCGGCCUGCUCCGUCGCCUCGGUCGGAUUGGGGGUUUCACCUUGCUACAUUGGUCGUGCUAUGUCACCACUUCGAAAUGCCGAGCUCUUUGCUCCGCCACCUCGGGACCGGCUUGGGGGCUGGGACCUCAUCCCGCCGUAAGCUCGGGUUGCGCAUCGACACCGAGCUCAUUAACCAGCUAAGUCGCUUCUUUACGUUAAACAAAAAACUUAGUUUGUUAAAAAUGUUAUUAGUUAAAAACACUUCUUUUACCCAAGUUAACUAGUGGAUCUUAAAUUUGUACGAGCUGUUCUAUAAUAAUUGUUUUUUCCUAGUCGUUGCAAAGUCUUUUUCUACAACUCCUUUCUCGACUCGAGUGUGUGGUCAAUAGCCGGAUAGCCUGUAUUCUCUCUAAUGCCGCUCGAGUUUAGUUCGCUAAAUUGGCCUAACGAGCAGUACACCGCCUUCAGGAUAGGAGGUUGCAACCGUAGGCUGACCCGCUUGAAGUCUUGAGAUCAGAUGUGUCAUAUUAAUGCACGACAGAAGCACAAAAAUAAGACCAAUUUUCGGAUUGGGACCAAAUGACUUGAUUUAGUUCGGGCGUAAAGUUUUUACUGAAGUUUUUGGUUUUCCAGGCUUAUGUCACUUUUAAACUAUUUGUGUGUUUCUAGCAUAAGUCUCGCAGUGCAACGCCGGACACCUUUAGAGAUUCAGCAAAAACACUCUCGGAUAUUGCUAUAUAUGCAUCGGUUUUGAAUUGUGUCUUCGGUCAAUACUUGGGUUGCCCGGCUCCUGUGCUUGCCUCCUAUGUUUCGCUUUGUUCGGCUAGGUGUGCAAAGGGAGAACCACUGCGAUUGUGCUUCCAGCUCGAAUGGUUAAGCACCUCAGUGGAACAAGCCGAAAACUGACGGUCACAAUGGGCGUAAACUAGUCAGCGAUCCGAUGACGGUGUCAAACUAUAGAUCAAUACCGAUUACCCUGUGUUAAACGAUAGGCCUUUCAUAACAUUGGCCGAAGUGUUAAUGGCUAGACUUCGGUCGGCGCCGAACACUAACCAGGGGCUCGUAGCUAGCUUCCCUAGUUUAAAGCUCCUACGACUAAGUGAAAGUUAUAAAGCCCGCAUAUCUGAUUGGCUUGUUUCCGCUAACACAACCGCCUCCGGGCACCGAGACAUCGGCUAAGGGUUGUCUUGUUACUACGGAAACACCCUGCGUAGUAUCUACAAAGGGGUAGAAGCCGACGAAGGGCCACUAUCAACUGAUAAACAGUCGCAAUGGAGUCAAAAUAAACAUCUAUCAUUAGUGUUUGUAUUCAAUAUACAAGCGUUGCCUUCCGUAAUUAUCGUUAUGAAGCCUUAAACAUGCAUCAAUUUGACUUAAGAUUUUGGCCAAGUUGGGUUGCCUGGCUCCUGUGCUUACCCCUACGUUCCCGAUUGUUCGGCUAGGCGGUAAAGGGAGCACCUCUGUGAUUGUUACUACCGGGUCAUACGACUUAGUACCUCAGACUGGGUGAAGCUGAAAGCUAGCGAUCUUAAAGGAUAUAAUUGGUCGGCAACGACGGAAGUGAAAAUUUAGGUUCACUAAAGACCACAUAGUUCGGGAACUUCCCCCCAACUAAAUCCUUAAUAUUUUUCUCCUGCAUUGAUCGAAGGUGAGGUUUCAUGAUCAUGGUCGGCAUGACAACCCAAACAAAGGAACCGAUAGCGGGACUAUUUUGUUUGGAAGAUGUUUUUUACAUUACAUAGUAAUAUAACAUUCUCUCCGCAUACCUUUGUUUAUAAAACCGUAUGGCCGGAUUACCUUGUUUGACAUAAAUCUUUGCCCUCAUAAAGGCUUUAUAAAGUGCGACAAACACUCCCCGGCUACUGGCCGAGGAGGUUGAAGCCGAUGGUCAGUCAACAAAGUUUUGUACAAUGCGGAUCCGAGCAUUAAUAAUGUAGAGUACUUGGAUACAUAGAAUCAUUACACAUAAUUUGUGAUUUUACUCCGGAUAUCGAUCCUUAAUUCGGCCACCCAUGCCCACAGUAAGGCUCGGGGGCUACUGGACUUCGGGCUUAUCAUUUUAAUAAUAUUAAAGGGGCACAUUGAUCCCCUGAUCUGGUGUUGCCACCCGACCAGUGUCUCGGGGGCUACUGCAUUGCCUAUUCAACACAGAAAAUUCAAAGUGCUUAGUGUUCGGCUUGACCGAACUACGGGCAAACGCGUCUUUGGACAAUAAUAGGUAUCAUCUCGGACUUAUCCGGCAUCAAGCUAAUAUAUUACAGUGACUUCUCAAAACCCUCUCUCAAGGGCCCGUUCGCCGAUCACUAUUUUCUCUAAUAUAUUACACCGCGUUUCGAUUCCUAAGUAUGUUGCCGAGCUGGGAAUUGAUCCUCAGGCCGAUUUCAUGAAUAGACCUAAGUAUCAGGGGCUACUUGGGUCAGCGGUUUGAUUUUAUCCUUCAGGUGCAUCCGGAUAUUAGGCCAACACACACCUUGAGGGCUACUGGCUAUACACCUCGACAGAGAAUACAUUACACAAAUCGGAAUUAAAUUCAUAUGAAUCAGCCCCUGACCGAGGUGGUGCACCACCUCGGAUACGGUCUGAUGUUGGAGCCCGGAUACAGUCCGGUGUUGGUGCUCGACUGCAAAAGAUACCUCAGAAGCAGUCCGACAUAAAGCUCGGUUGCAAGUGGCUGGAUCCAUAGAGGGCAUCUCUGGCAUUAAGCUCCGUUCUACCCUUUUAACUUUUUCAAGACCGAGGUAAUCUAUGACACUUCGGAUACAGUCCGACAUUGGGGCUCGGAUACAUUCCGGCAUUGGAGCUCGGAAGCGGUCUGACGUUGGUGCUCGGUUGCAAAAUAUAUCUCGGAUGUAGUUCGACGUUGGAGCUUAGAUGCAAGAGGACACUGCCGCACGGGAACAACUUCAAACCCGAGGUGUGGCGUAAAAAAUAACAAGGCAUUGCUAAAGGCCGAAAAUAUAAAGGGAUUCCUCGGAUACCCGACAUGUAGACUCUUCGGAUUCACUUCAGCGAUCCUCAAGAUCGAAGAUGAGAAGAUUUGUUGAACCAAUUUUCAAGACCAACGACCGAAGAUGAAGAAUAGUUUGGAAGAAUCGAGGAGCGUCCCCAACUUGAAGACCGGUUCAAGGGGCUACUGACGGUGUCCUGGACUAGGGGGUACUCACCAUGUCGUCUCCCGACCAGCUGAUCGGGUCGAGGACCCCCAUGGCGGUUCAGUUAUGGGCCACUUUGGGCAGCCCAUGCCGCAUACAAGGAGGAUUCCACAAGACUUGGCACCCAAGACAAGGACUCCUCCGAACCCUAGGCCUCUGGUGUGUUAUAUAAACCAAGCCAGGCUAGUCAAUAGAACAUAUCAUUCAUUACUACAAUCUUGUGGUAGAUACCUAUACUAUGUACUAUCCCCAUAUGAAUACAAUCAAAAGCAGGACGUAGGGUUUUACCUCCAUCAAGAGGGACCGAACCUGGGUAAAAUCCCGUGUCCAUGUUACCAUCACUCCAAGACGCCUAGCUUAGGACCCCUACUAUGAGAUAUGCCGGAUAUAGAACCAACACCGUUCAUUAUGACACGCUUCAUUAUUGUCAUAUUGCUUUGCAUGAUCAUGUAGUUGGCAUCAUAUUUCUGGAAAAGCCACCUUUCAUAUUUUUUAUACAUGUCACUCUUGAUUCGUUGCACAUCCCGGUACACCACCGGAGGCAUUCAUACAGAGUCAUAUUUUUUGUUCUAGAAUCGAGUUGUAAUUCUUGAGUUGUAAGUAAAUAAAAGUGUGAUGAUCUUCAUUAUUAGAGCAUUGUCCCAUGUGAGGAAAGGAUGAAGGAAGCUAUGAUUCUCUCACAAGUUGGGAUGAGUCUCCAGACUUUAUAAAAAAUAGAAGAGGCCAAAUAAGCCCACAAAAAUAAAAGAGGCCCAAGAAGCCCACUGUUGGGGAUAUAACUCCUAGGUAUGACCCGCCCUGGAGGGGCCGGGUCAUGCCUUCGACGGUUCAUUAUGAAGAAGCCCAUGAAAGCCCAGGGUGUGAAGGUGGUGACUCAUGGAGGCGGGCCUCGAUGAGGCCCAGGCCAGGGGCUCGUAAGCCAUCAUGUGCUAACUUGUAUCGUAAGAUAAGUAUUAGUUGUAAACCAAGCCCCUCACGAUGUAUGAACCGGCCUGGACUCUGUAAGCCACCUCCUCAACCUAUGUAUACACUACAAAAAAUACACUUCCGUGAUGAUACGUGUUUGUCACAGUAGGUCACAUUUUCUGUCAUGCAUGUACAUCCAUGACGAUUUUAUGACAGAAUCCAGAUAGUCAUACAUGUGCUAUCGUAGAAGUGUUCCAUGACAUUACCAAAAUUAUCAUCACGGAAGUGUCCACUUCCAUGACGAUAAAUGGCGCAUCAUGGAAGUGUUUUUGUCAAGGGUAACUGACAUGUGGCAUCCACCGUAACAGGUCGCUGUUAAGCUAUCGGGUCCGGUUUUGGAUCCGAUAACCCGUUAAAAGCCCCGAACAAUGGGCAUUUUCCACAUGUAAAAUUCUCAUUGGCCGGAGGAAACACGUGUUGGCUCACCAUUGGGAUAGAUGUCAUCCACUCAUUGGACAGGAGGCGCCUAUGAUUCGUCGACACAUGGCACGACCCAACAGAGGCACAUUCCGGUGAAAAGUCCGGCUUGUUUGACUUGGUCAAAGAGGUAGCGGGCCGGCCCACAUAAAGCCUGUUAACGGUCUGUUAGCAUAUAGCCCAUUUACAGCCCGCUAGGUCACGGCUCAUUACGGCUUAUCCGAAUUAGGCCCAGUAGCGUCAUCUGGGCCGUCCAGUAUGAUUCCAGCCCGUUGUAACUUCCGGCCCAUGUAUGGCCCAUGUCGUCUUUCUGCCCAUAUGAUGCCCUUUGUAACUCUUGGCCCAUUAACGACUCAUGGUGAAACUGGGCUGUAAUGAACAGUGUAUCGCUUUAUACCCAUUAACGACCCAUUAGUCUGUCGGCUGUUUCCAGCCCGUGUUAACUUUCGACCUUCUAAGGGCCCAUUUAUUCUAGGGCUCAUUUCCAGAAUUUGAUCACUUACGGUCCGUUACAGGCAUGUUCAUCUUGUGGACCAAAUUCAGCCCGUGGUUACAGUUGGCCUGCUUGUGGCCCGUUAACACGUUGGGAUGUUUUCGUAGCAUCAUCAAUUAUGGCCUAUUAAUGGCCUGUUAUGGUCGGGCCAUAAAACAAACGAUUUCCACUCUAGCCUGUUUACGGCCCAUUUUGAGGUCCGUCAUUGGUCCACGAAUAGUACGACCCAUGUUUGGCGAAACGAUUAUACGACCCGUAGAAGGCCCAUAGAUGAGAUGGCCCAUAGAAGGCCCAUGGAUCCUAUGGCCCGUGGAAGGCCCAUAGAUCGUACAUCCCGUGGAGGGCCAUGGUCACUACAACAGGUAGCAGGACCAUGGUCACAACAGUCCGUGCAUUGCCAUGGUUAUUGUGGCCAAGUUUAUUGUGGCCGCUAGAAAAACGCGGAAAAAGAAUUAUAGUGAUUACAAGCAAACAACUAAACAAGACAAUAAGGAAAUAAAUAAGCAAGGAACUAACGCUAGGUUAUUACGGCUACUACACAUAUUACAUCCACUGGGCAACAAAGUUCACCACUAGUGCAAAUAUAGGGAACAAAGCAGCAUAUUACAUACACUGGCCAUCUGAAUUGACCACCAGUGCAAAUAAACGCGGCAGCAAAACAAGUCCAUAACUGAAACAACUUCAGAAUGGCUCAAGAAACGUUAUCCUGGGUAUCCACCAUGCUGGCAAUAAGCUUAGAAAUCUUAUUAGCUUUGUCCUUUUUGGCGCUAAAAUCCUCCAAUGCUUGUUGUUGCACCAGAAAGUAUGCAUCUGAAUGCUCCAAGGACUUCCGCAGUCCUUCCCUUCUUGUCGCAGCACAACUGAUCAAUGUCUUUCAGCUUGUAGUUGAGACUCAAGAAACCGAACUGAUUCAGAUAGUGAGUUUGAAUAGCUUGUGCAAGCGGUACUAGCCAGGAACUCGAACACUAAACCAAGACAAGACUUUGGGGUUGUCUCACUGUCUUCAAGAUAGUUUUCCUUAGCUAUUUUAUCAGCUUUGUUGGAGACCAACAAGGAUGUCUCACUAUCCUGAACCUUAUCUGCAUUACUUCCUUUACCAUUGCUUAAUAAGGCACUCUUCCCCAAUAUUAUGUCAGCAUUCUAAAAGAAGAAACAAGCAGACACAUAACAGGUUUAGCAUGUACUAGUAUAUGAAACUCAUUUCGGUGAACCAGUUCAUUAGUAAGGUGGACAGGAUUAAACUACCAAGUCUUCUAUUACCAAGUAGUACAUAAUAAAAGCAUCAAACAAACAUAUAUCUAUGUCCUAUGGUCACUGCAUCGUCUUGCCAAAUCAAAAUAGAGACACAGUUGAAAUCAUAUCAGUUCAAGACAAAGCAGCACUGAAAGAAUACAAAGCAUGGGAAUCUACAUGGCACAACAAGAUUUCAGAUGGGUACCACGGGUCUACAUGUACAAUAACACGAUUGUCUCUGUUGUGAUGCUAGUAAUGUGCAUUAUAUGAGAAGUCAACUGUAUACACAAUUGAAAUUGAAAUCAACAGAGCUAUUGAUAAGAGCAAACCUGCUAAAGAAACAUGCGUAAACAUACCUACUGUGCCAUUGGAGUUUAGAUUGGAUCCUUCAAUUUAAAAAUAAGUUUGUAUGAGUAAAUACAGUGAUACAAGAGCAAAGUAGUAUGCACGAUAACAAUGGAAUCUUAAAUGAGAACAAUUGUUCUUCAGGUUUAAGCACUUGUUCUACAUGAACAAAGUACAGCAAGACGCAAGAAUAUAGUACUUAAAAAUAGAAAAUGAGCUCAUAGACCUUACCACAUUCUUGGUCCGGGACUAGUACAGAACAAGGUGUUCCCAGUCAUGGUCCAGUAAAUGUGUCUCAGGAGAACGUAAGGGAAUUUGAUGAGUUUCUUUGCUAGUGAAGUACGUUUCCUUCAGGUAAUUCUGAUACUGCCACCAAUCAUUCUUGAAGAUAGCAGAGGUAUUAGCACGGGUUACCUCAUCCUGAGUUUCCAAAUCGGUCCUUCUCUAUAGAGAAAAAUGGGAAAAUUUGUUGUAUUAUAACCAUCAUGGAGGUAGAAUGUAUGGGACAAAGCAAAGUAAUUGACAUGAAUAACAUUACUUACACAUAACUCCUGGACAAACACGUGCAACUUGCAUUUUCCUUCAUCUUCGGUAUAAUAUUUCCAUGAUGGGAAGAUAAACACAUAGGAUUUAACAACAUCAAAUGCGAUAGAUGCUAAAAUAUGACUGGAUGGUUGUGCUUCCUCCACAGGAAUAGGUGUACUAACUGGUGGAGUUGCGGUUCGCCAUGGUAGUACUGGCGCUUUGGGCACUGGAGCUGCCUUACUAACUGCUCUUGUUUGGGAGCUCUGUGGUGGAGAUGGUGCUGUGUCAACAGGAACUGGGUUACUAUCUGUUGGGGUUGGGGUUAGAUUGGGUGAAGCUGGUUCUCUGUCCAUCGCAGUAGGGGUACAAUCUGUGAGAGUCUGGGUUAUGUGUGGUAGGGCUGGUUCUCGUUCAUGUACAACCGGGGUGCUAUCUCCACCAAGAGGUAGCACUAUUUUAUUUGAAGACCGUGUUUUACUCUGCUAGAUACUGGCAUCACCCGCUCCAAUUCAAAUGGCUGAUAAACAGGAAAAUAGUUGAAUGUACAGACAUUGUAUGAGAGACAGAUGCAAUAGAUACUGUGGAAAAAGAGGGCAUGAAAUAGUUGACAUGUAUAUUAUUUAACUAAACCAGAUAGCAUGACAUAAUUUCACAUAUAUGAUGUAUAUCUGAACUGGAUAGCAUAGCAUAACAUAAUUCAAAGAUAUGAUGAAUAACUAAACAUGAUCGCAUGACAUAAUUCACAUACAUGUUAUAUAAGUAAUCAGGAUCACAUGAUUUAAUUCACAUAUGUGAUUUAUAUGCUAACCAGAGGGCAUUCACAUAUAUGAUGUCUGAACUAAGAACAUGGUGUUGAAUAUUGUGUAUAUGAUGUCUAAACUAUGCAAUGCAAGACACCAUAUGCAUGAUAUGCAUAGUAUAACCAUGCCAAGUUAGAGCUUACACCUCGAUGGGGGAAUUGGACUGGUCAUCUGUCUCUGAAUCCAUCUCUAAGGAGCUAUCGGGGCCCAACAAGAUAUCUGCUUCGACAUGUAGCACUGCCUGCUCUGAAGGCCUUGUUUUCACUACAGAUUUUUCCAUCUCCCACUCAAAUGGCUAAUUCACAGGAAGAGUAGUUUAAUGUACAAACAUUGUCGACAAAUGGAAAUGUAAUGAGGAAAAGGAUGGGCAAGAUAUCAUGCAAAUAUAUGAUGUCUGGUUAAAUAGGAUGGCAUUGCACAUUUCACAUAUAUUAUGGCUGGCUAAAAGACAUGAGAGUGCAUAAUUCCCAUAUAUGAUAUAGAAACUAAACAGGUGGCAUUACAGAACAUGUCUAAACUAAGCAGAUGACAUAUAUGAUGUCGAAAGUAGGCACUGCAAGGCAACAUAUGCAUGAUAUGACUAACAUAAUCAUGCCAAGGUAGAGCAAACACAUUGGGGGGUAAAUAGGAGUGGUCAGCUACGUCUGAAUCCGCCUCAGAACAGAUAUCUUCCUCUGGAUUACAAUCUGGGGAGGUGGGGGGAGGGUUUGCCAUUGAACCCACCAUGGAGCGAUGUCAGCAUGACAUUGUAUGGCUACGCAAAACUCUUAUCUUUUUCUCUACAUGUUCAGCAUGACUGUGUACAAUAUCUGACAUGCAUACGAAAAAAUAUGGUGAGAUUAUGUAAGGAGAGCAUGCAGAAAUCUAAAGUGAUGGUAACAACCUGUGGAUGGAUCCAAAAAUAAUGAUAGCAGGCUGAUGAUUGCUUUAAUUUAAUAAAAAGAUAGAUGAUAAUUGCUUUACUAUUUGUUUCCCACCCAAGAUGAACAACAUAAGCAUACCCUAGGUGAACCAUAUAUUAGAUAGAGAUACUAUGCAUUGCUGCCUCGAUGCCCCACAACUAACUUAGAACUCAAGUUUGAACAUUAAUUUGGACCUGACUUGGAGUCUAAGAGGUGAAAAAGAUGAUAAAGUAGCAGGUAAUUUUAAGCAAUGCAUAACAUAAGCAGAAACAAAAGAGUGGGACCUCUCUUGUGGACCCGUGUACUCCUGAGGUUCAUCUGCUAAGUCGAUGAUGGUGAUGUCGUUACGGUGGGUGCUGGUGGCAGGGAAGGAGAUCUGAGGCGGCGAAAGAUGGUCAGGAGUCAUGAUGUCUGGUUUGGUGGAUGCUUCUGUUGAUGGAGCAGCUUAGGUGAGGCGGACAACGUCGUGGCAGGAGCAGGAUAAACCACACAAAGUUUUCUUCGACACCUACCUGUAACUGAAGUAAUUCUGUAAGGGCUUAUUUGGCUUGCAUGAUUCUAAAAAUGUAGGGAUAGGGAAAACGAUAGGAAUGCACAUGGUAAACAGAGCAUUUGUAAACACAGGAUUUCUGUCAACUUGGGUGUUUGGUUCACAUGAAUUGGAAGAGCAGAGGAAUGCAAAGAAACAUGGCCAAAAUAAAGUGAAACCAUAUGAAAGUGUGUAUAGUUAGACUGUUAUUCUGCCACUAAUGCACUUGGUCUUGUUUUCAUGCAUAGGAUUUUGAAAAGUAGGUCCAGGUGGAUGUUUUGCUCCAUUCCUUUCAACAAAAUGUAUGAAUAAUUGAAUAGUAGAGUGCCAUAGGAAAAUUUCCUAUUGCUAUAUUUUUUCCGUUGAACCAAAAUAGCCUUAAUGGAUCGACAUGAAUGUAGAGUAAUAAGUGAUGCGACAAGUGUACAACCUCUUUGCCAUAGUCGUGUCGACCUCGACAUCAUUGGGUUGGUCGCUGAAGAAGUUGAGGCAGAGGUGGCUGUCGGAGGUGUGGAGGAAGAUCUGAGGAAUCUGUAGAUGGCGUCCAGGGCACUGUUCUAUUGUAAUGGAUCGUUCUGUCGUUGGAGCAGCUCCAGUGAGCUGUAAGACGUCGAGGCUGAAGCAACACAAGACAUACAUCAUUAAUCUCAAGUAGGAUUCUAAUAGCAUCUCCAAUAGAUGAUGUAAAAUACGUUACCAAAAAGUGAUAGAUGUAAAAUUUACAUCACCAAAAACCACCUGACUACAACAGAUGAGGUAAAAACUACUGACUCUGAACUUAACUGCCGAAACUGAAAUUUAUUAUGGAAUCUGAAUGUUACUGUCGAAACUGAACGCAAUGGUAGCAGAGAGGCACUUCACAUGUAGUUUAGGGAGGGCCUGCAGUUCAUCUUCAACCUGCACCCUCCUGAGUCGCCAACCACCACCGGCCCCCGCCGCCCGCGGCCGGUGAUGCUCCCGCGCCGCCUCGCCGCCCCAAAACAACUCCCCACCGCCGCCCCGGCCAUCCCUGUAGCCCCCUCCCCCGCGUGCCGAGCUUCUUCUCCGGCGAUCCCCAUGCCAUCGCCCCACCACCGUGCCCCCACCGUCGGCGACCACCGCCCCACCCUAAACCCUAAGAUAGAUAGUGGGGUACCUAUCCGGCGAGCCACCCUCCUCACUGCGGGUGGUUCUUCCUUAACUCCGGGGAGCCCCCCCCCCUGAAAAUUGACUGACUCAAAAGUUGAUUCAGUCGACUGAAGUGUAGCUAAAUCGGAGCAGAGCAGCAGCACGAGUGAGGGGGAGAGCAGCAGCAACGCGAGUGAGUGAGCGAGAGCCGGAGCAGCAGCAGUAGUAGCGCGAGCGAGCGAGCCAGAGCUGGAGCAGCAGCAAUAGAUCCGGCUGGUAUGGCCGCCGCCGCCGAAGGGGCCUCGCACUAUGGGAGAGCCGCCAUGGAGAUGUUGCCCGCAGUGCCGGCUUUGAGGUAGCCGCGCCAUGGGGGUGCGGGAUGGAGCACCGUCGGCGUCGGGAGGUCGAGUUAAGGAGAAGGUGCGAUGUGAUGAGUGUACAACCUCUUUGGUGGCGCCGAGUAGGCUUCGGCUUCGUCCGAGGAGUCGGUGAGGAUGUUGCGGUUCUGGUGGCGCAGGUUAAGGCGAUGCUAUGUGGAUGGAGCAGCCACGAUAGACGAGGCGAUCGUUGGAGCAGCUCCUUGGAGUUGGAGGAUGGGGCGGCUGAACUGGCGGGACGACGAGAUGGACGACGGAUCCUCAUGCGGGGAGGUGGAUGAGGGACGUCGCACUAUUGCGGUGGACGAUGUCGUUAGGGAAGAGGCUCCGGCAGGGCAGCAGUGAGAUGGCGGACGGAGGAGGGUGGGGUUUAGGGGCUGGAGCAGAGAGGUUAUGGCGGCCUGGGAUUUCGAAUGACGAAAAGGAGGCGAUGGGAGGGGGCACUACAAAAAAAAGACACAUCCAUGACAUUUUGGGCCGAACGGAUUUUUUCCUGUCAUACUUAUGACACUCCUGUGAUGAUAAUUGUGACAAAACCCGGUAUCAUCAUAGAUGUGGUGGGGUCCUACUUCUAUGACAAAAAAUCAUGACAGAAAAUGGGCUUUUCGUCCUGGGCGGGCCGGAGACGCAGCUACAUGACAUUCUUUGGCCCGUCCAUGACGGAAAAAAACGUGGCAGAAGCGAGGGCGAGGAAAAUAUCAGGGUGUUCUCGGUAAUGGUGGGUGGUUGGGGCUGAGCUAUGCGCGUUUCUCUCGUACACGCACGCGCUUGGGUGCGAGGUGUUGGGCUCUAACUGAACCCGAGCAAUUGCACUGCAGGCUACGCAUUACUGAACCCGAGCGAUCGAUCAAUGGCUAUUAACUGAACCUGAUCGAGUGAUUCCUUCUCUACUGCUGCUAACUGAAGCCGAUCGAUGCUGCCUCUGGAUGAACAGUGAGAGUUGCUUGGGGGGGGGAGGGUUGAUGAAUAGUUCCCGGUGGGGGUGGAUGAACAGGACCCCGAUCGAUCGAGCCGGUUGGGGCUGGAUGAACAGGACCCUGUGGAGGGCAGGAUGAACAGGACCACCCCGUGGAGGGCUGGAUUUACAGUAGACGGUGGAGGGCUGGAUGAACAGUAGCCCGUGGAGGGGUGGUUGAACAGGAGCCCAUGGAGAGGGCUGGUUGAACAGUAGCCAGUGGAGUAGCGCGGGGUGGAGGCUGGAUGAACAGGAGCCCGUGGAUGAACAAUCGCAGGUGGAGGCUAGAGGAGGUCGACAGUGGAUGAACAGUAGCCCGUGGAGGCUGGAGGGGGUCGAUGGUGGAGAUGAACAGUAUCCCGUGGAGUCCCAUUUUGUGGUACGCCACACCCCUCCUGAUGAACAGGACCCCCGUUUUGAUUGUAGCGCUCCAGCAUAAGUCCGUUUCAUCCAUUUUGUGGUACGCCACACCCCUCCUGAUCAACAGGACCUCCAUUUCGACCCUAGGAGGACCGUUUCCUCCGUUUUGCGGUACGCCAAACCCCUCCCGAUGGACAAGAUCCCGUUUCGACUGUGGCCGGUCGAACACAAGGCCGUUUCCUCCAUUCUGUGGUACACCAGGCCUCAUUUCCAUCUACUGUUCCGUCCAAGCCCUCCUGAUGAACACGACACCGCAUUCCGUUCCGACCCAGCCGGUUGGCUCCCCAUGAACACAACGACGACGCAGUUUCUCCAUUCCGACGCAGCCAUGUACAUGAGCCCUGGCCGUAGUAUGCGCCAGUAGGCAUUCGAGACCCUGCCCGUAUGUACGUACGUGGCCGCAUUUUCUUUCUUGCACAUUGGCCGCUGUAUGUACGUGUACAUGCUACGUGCAUGCCUCUACUAUGACACGUGCGCGCCUCUACAUCGACCAGUAUGUACGUACACAUUCGCGACCAGAAUGACAACGCUACGUACACUUCGACCAUGUGGGUCCCGACUAUCAGGCACUUCCUUGCAUGCAAAGAUGUAGCUGGUGGGUCCCAGCAGUCAGGGGGCUGAAUCAUUUUUUUGCCCGAACACACUUCCUUGCAUGCGAAGAUGUAGCUGGUAGGUCCCAGCAGUCAGGGGGAAACGUUUUUUUCACGAAAUACAAUUGCUCGUCCGGUGGGUCCCUGCUGUCAGGUGGAGGAAUAAUUAUUUUGCACAUAAUAAGGAGGCACUUCCUUGCGGCCGCUGUGGACCCAGCUGUCAGCCUCUCCACAUACAGUACUCUUCCGAUGGAAGUCAUUCCUUGAACACGUUGACUACACCGCGCCGAGAGCACCAGGGCGGUGGACGACGGCGAGGCCUAGGAAGGGGACGACGCGGAGCCGGGGAAGACGCGGCAAUGGAUGCCCACGCGGAGAGGAGUAUAAGGGUUCACUGGUUCGGCUGCGGUGUGAGGUCGCCGUCGCCGCAUAAUAACAUGGGGUGUGGGUGAGUGGAGGGAUGCCCUGGACAGCGGUGGGAGUAGUAGGGGGCGGUGAGGCCUGCGCGGUAGCACAUUUGGCCACGGGAGGCAGGAGCAGGCGGCACGACCAACGCUGCUUUGGGAGGCUGGAGCAAGAAGACCAGAGGUUGAAGAAGCACGACGGCCGUUGGAUGGACAUCGUACGGCCACUGCAGCUAGAAUCGUUUAUAUUGACUAAGUUGACAAAGCCCUUGGUACGCGCCAACUUAGUAGGCCCACAGGUCAGCUUCUGAAACGGUGCGCCCCAGAUGUCAGGGGGAGGAAUCAUUUUUUGGGCGGGUGAAGCUAGAAUAUUCGAGAUUGAAGAAGCACGGCAUCCGUUGGAUGGACAUCCAACGGCCACUUCUGCUAAAACCAUGUGUUGACUAUAAGUUGACAAAGCCUUGCAUACGCGUCAACUCUCUUUUUUUAGGGGACGCAUCAACUUAGUAAGGCCACAAGUGUGUGGCAGAGAACUUAUAGCCCAUUUGAGAUAUGUAAGAAUGUGCAACCAAUUUUUGAAUUCUAAUGGAAUUUACUACAGCCCAUUUACAGUUUGUUAAAAGUACAACCCAUUUCAACCAACCGUUCAAACCAAAAUUCAAUAAACUUUCCCACAUUUUGAUGCGAUCCGAAAUAUUUUUAUCCCGAAAUUUCUAGUCAGAUUAAAUACAAUUUCAAUAUAAAUUUAUAUUACAUAAAAAUCCAACAAAAAAUUGCGCUCGCAACAAUUAAUGAAAUUAAAAUUUUCAAUAUCCAAAAAUAAUAUUUUAUAAAGUAAUUACGAGUUUGGUGCAUUUUUAUAGUUACUGCCCAGUUUUUAUAAUUACAUCCCAUUUAUUAUUUCUUAAAGCCCAUUUUCUUGUUAAGCCUAAUGCAUCCCUCCUAGAAAAGAUUUGUAGCCCAGCGGGAUAGAGAAUAACAACUUGACCUUGCCUGGGUAUUCCUAAAAAAAGUAUAGCUGGGCUAGCCAUUUUUAGCUUGAAAAAAAUUAAGAUCUAGGCUGGAUAUCUGGCCUGGGCUAGACGGGCCACAACUUGCAUAGUUAAUAGCUGCAGCGAUGUUUUCGUUUUGUUCAGAGGAGAAAAAUUAAUAUCUGGGCUAAACAUCACUCAAAAAAAA